rnacentral:lncRNA from 1 species
GUAAAGGAAGUACCAAAGCUUGGUAUGGAAGCAGCAUUGAAAGCCAUCAAAGAAUGGGGACAACCCAUUUCAAAGAUCACUCACCUUAUAUUUUGCACAUCAUCAGGGAUAGACAUGCCUAGUGCUGACCAUAAGCUUGCUAAUCUUAUUGGCCUCAAACCCUCUGUUCAGAGAUUCAUGAUUUAUAAUCAAGGUUGCUUUGCUGGAGCCACUGCCCUGCACCUUGCCAAGGAUUUGGCCGAGAACAAUGCUAGUGCUCGUGUACUUAUUGUUUGCUCCGAGAACAUGAUCAUGAGUUUCCAACCACCUUCGGAGACCCAUUUAGACAUACUCAUUGGCUCCGCCAUAUUUUUUGAUGGGGCAGCGACUUUGAUUGUUGGUGCUAAUCCUAUUGUCAGCAUCAACGAGUGCCCUUUAUUUCAAAUUGUAUCAGCAAAUCAAAGCAUUAUCCCUGAAUCCGAUGAUUUACUAAUAGGAAAAAUACGUGAAAUGGGGAUGGAGUAUUAUUUAUCGAGAAAUUUGCAUCAGUACGUGUCUAACAACAUCAAGCAAUGCAUGGUCGAAGCGUUUACUCCAUUUGGAAUCAGGGAAUGGGAAAAUUUGUUUUAUAUAGUUCAUCCUAGUGGAGUAGCUAUUCUUAAUGGAAUUGAAGAGAAACUUGGGUUGAAUAAGGAGAGGCUUAGAGCAAGUAGGCAUGUGCUAAGUGAAUAUGGAAACAUGUGGGGUCCAAGUGUAACACCCCUAACCCGAAUCCAUCGUCAGAACAGGGUUACAGAGCAUUACCAAAAUUUACAGAUUGAUUUUUAGACGUUUCAUUUCAUCUAGCAUUCAUAUUUGAAACCAAUCAAAAUUAAAACAUUAAUGAGCCAACGUUGGCUAAAAUUAACUUAUACAUGCCAUUAUAACUAGAAUCAAAUCAUCCGAAAUUACCGGUAGAACCAAUGGAUAGUGUGAUAUAUCUCUGACAAGCUUCCAACCCAAUCGAACUUUUGAUAAUCUGUAGGGUAAAUAAAAAAAUACGUAAGCAACGAAUGCUUAGUAAGCUCAUGUAGUCUUUAAUCAUAUUAGUUCUUUUAAAAUAUUAAAUCUAUACAUAUCAAGGAUAACCCAAUAUUAGUUCUUUUAAAAUAUUAAAUCUAUUCAUCAACUUACAAGGUGAAUAAAUCCACAGUAUCACUUAAACAUAUUAUCCCAAGCUUAGUAGGAUUUUAUAUAACUUUAACUCUUGAUAAUUUCUUUAUUUUCAUUUGCAUUUCUUCACUUUCCACGCUUGUUCCAUAUGCAUGUCACACAAGUCCUAAACAUAUCAUUCAACCAUGGUCACAAACUAGUGCAUUUACCCAGAUCCUUUCCUGAACUGAUUACAUGAUAAGUCAUUUCAUAAGAAAUUGCAUAAUUUAAACCAUACCACUUUUUCAUGAACACUAGCAUAUUUUCCUUCAAAUACUUAUCAAUUCAAUGCUUCCAUUAAAAAAAUCAAAUUACUAUUCAACCAAUAGCUUGGCACUUGCCUAAGCAUCAAGCAACAAUACUGAUUAGUGUACUUGCACACAUUACAUAUAAACUCAUCAUGCAUAAUUUUCUUGUUUCAACAUAUUAAAGAUAAUCAUACAUUUACAUGUCAUGAUACAUAUCAUUCUCUUAUCGUUUCUUAAUAGGUAUAUAUCAUUCAUUUCAUUAUUUCAAUAUUUCAUGUACCAUCAUUUUUAUGAAUUUCGCGUACAUACCGGUAAUAGUUCUCAUGUUAUCUCACUUCAAAACUUUACCCGUUAUAUCAUUUAAAUAUCAAUGGUUACAUUUAUUUUAGAUCAAUACCAAUAAUAAUCUAUAAAUCUUUCAAUUCAACCACAAAAGUCUUUUACCGUUUCUUUCUGUAUCGAAGAACGACUUACGGAUAUGAGUACAUCGUUUUCAGAAGCCCGAAGGCUGAACUUAAGCUCAUGAGAGCUAAACAGAUAGUAAACACAAAAGUCUGCAACAAAUGCUGAACAUCGGUUUACUUGGGUAAUUUACUGUCAAUUCCUCCUUUACAUUUGUAAUGCCAUAGCCCAGUUAUGGUCUUAUCUGUCAAUUCAUCCUUUGGCACAGAACGAUUGUACUCAAUCCCGCGUUCAAUCCAAACUGGGUAUUAAAUUCGAUAAUAUAUUUCCAAUAAUAAUUCAAUUCCAUAUUUUCUAUUACCCUUAUUAUUUUCCAUAUUUAUCCCGUUGAACUACUUGGAAUUUCGAUGGAUUUUCAGGGGUACACCUAAGUGUACAAAUCCGAGUCCGUCAAUUCAUAUUCAUGUGUACACAUUUCCAUUUCAGAGAGCACACUCCCGCGAACCUCAUCCUUAUAGCGGGAUUACCAGUCCAGGCUAAAUCCCCUGUAAUAUAAACUCAUAGAGUAUUGUCGGGAUUACUAGUCCAGGCUAAAUCCCCUGCAAUGACAAUUACUCUAAUGAGCUUGGAUCUGAAUUACCAAUCCAGGCUCAAUUCAGACCCUAAUUCGGAUUACCCGUCUAGGCUAAAUCCAUUUUCCACAUAUUCUUCGGGAGGGCUAUAUCAGGAUAGGAUCACCAAUCCGGGCUAGAUCCUUUUUACCAUCAAUUCCUUUUCAGAGAUCCAUCGAAUUUUUCUUUCAUUCAACCGGGAUUUCUUCCCCUUUUUAUAAACUAUAUCAAUGUUUCAUCAAUUUUCAUAUAAUGAACAUUCAAAUCAUAUUCACAUCAAUAACAUACAUUUCAAGCAUUUAAGAAUAUAAUUCAAGUUAGACAAACUUACAAGGCUAAAUUACAGAAAUACCAAAAUUCAGGGACAUUUUAAUACUUUUCCAUUUUCCUCGAAUUUCCACCCAAUCUUGAUCUAAAUUAAUAUUUCAUUAAAUUUAUUAAUUUAAAUAAUAAAACAAUUCAUUUCAUGCAAUUUGGUCAUUUUUGACAUUUUUACAAAAUUACCCUUAAAAUUUCACUUUUAUUCAUUUUAGUCCCCGAAUCUAAAACAUGUAAAUUAGCUACUUUAAAAUAAACUCAUAUUAUCUGAAUAUUCACAUAUAUUUUUCAUCCUCCUCCACUCUAUUCCACAUCCUUGAUAUAUACAUAAUACCACUAUUUACUUGUUUACUCAUAACAAGCUGUUCACUUGAGUUAUAGUCACUAAAUUAAUUAUAUCUUAAGCUACAGAACUUCAAAUUGAGAUCCGAAAAUUUUCCAUGAAACAAGACUCACAUAUAUUUUUACCAUAAAAUUUUCAUAAUUUUUGGUUUAGCCAAUAAGUACAGUUUAUUCUUUAAAGUUUUCCCUGUUUCACUCUUUAACAGUUCUUACCCCUUUUCACUAAAAAUUAAUUAUCUCUUUGUACAGAAUUCAGAUGAUGUUCUCGUUUGUUUCUAUUGAAAAUAUACUCAUUCAGAAUUUUAAACAUAUGAAUUUAAUCCUCUAAUUAUUUUUAUUUAUUUUUUUAUGAUUUUCCAAAGACAGGACAGGGAAACCCAAAUUCAUUCUGACCUUAUCUCACAAAAUUUAUUAUAUCUCAUGAUUUACAAUUACAUUACUUACAACAUUUCUUCUAUGAGAAACUAGACUUAAUAAUAUUUAAUUUCAUAUUUUUUUCAUUCUCUAAUUCGAUUUUCAUAAUUUAUGGUGAUUUUUCAAAGUUAUCCUACUGUUGCUGUCCAAAACUGUUUUAGUGCAAGAUGUUUACUACCAUGUUUAUAACACCCUUACUUUCUUUCUCUACACUAUUUCUCAUCACUUUCUCUUAUUUUCUCUUCACUAACAUAUCAAGAACACAAGACCUUAUAUAAGAAAACUCUACUAUAACAUUAAUUUCCUACUUUUUCAAUAAUAUCCAACUCAAAAAUAUAUUGAAAUCUUGAUGUUCUUACCUUGUGCUAUUGAUUUCAAUCUUUAACUUGAUUUUCUCUCUCCUCCAGCUUCUAUUUCUUGAAUCUAAUUUGAUAUUCUAGCUCCCCAUUGUCUCCUUAUUAUUUUUCUCUUUUGGAAGCUAUGGAAAUUCUUUUGAUUUCUAAGUGAAAAUAGUGAAUUUUUGGUAAAAGGACCAAAUUGUAAAGAAAAGAAAGUUUCUUUCUUUCUUUUCUCCCCACAUGUUGGAAUGCAUGAGAGGUUGAUGAUGAUUUUUCAUCUUCCUUUUCUUAUAUAUAUACUAAAUAAAAUAAUAAUAAAAUAAUAAAAUAUCAUUUAAAAAUCAAAUUAAAAUAUUAAUAAACUAAUAUUUAUUUAUUUAAUUAAUCUAAAAUAUCUCCAGCAUCAUCAUUAUCUUCUAGUUUUCUCUCUAUUCUAAUUGAACAUUUUGCCCUUUAUGAUCUUUUAAAAUUUCAUCCUUAAGUCAUCACUUAAUUUGGUAAAAUUGUAAUUUAGUCCCUCAAAAUUCUUCACCUUUUUCAAGUUGGUCCUAAUCCAUCCAUUUUCCUUAGUUUCUAGAUCAUUCCACCCUUAAAAUAUUUACACCAUUGGUCCUUUAAAUUUUUAUAUUUACACUUUAACCCCUCAAAUUUUGAGUAUUUACUCUUGGGCAACAAAACGUUUCUCACUUUUACGAUUUAAUCCUUUCUUGAACUAAUAUGUCAUAAUAAUACUUCCCAAUGUUGACAUAACUCCAAAUUUUCCCUUUUUGUCGCUUUAUUUCCUUAUUUUAUUAUAUCAAAGAUAAUAUAUUACUGUAAAAAAAAUUUUGGGGUAUUACACCAAGCGUGAUCUUUGUUCUUAAUGAGAUGAGGAAAAUGUCGGUGUUGGAAGGCAAAGCCACCACAGGUGAAGGUCUUGAGUGGGGCGUGUUGUUCGAGUUUGGGCCAGGUCUCACGGUGGAGACAUUGGUGCUUCGUAGCUUUGCUACAAAUUCAACACCAUAGUCCAUAGCUAUUGAUGGUGUGUGAAACUUUUUUUUGUUCAACAAAAUUGACGGUGUGUGAAACAAUAUGUGAAUGUGAACAAGAAGAUUGAUACAUGUUUCUUUAAGAAAAAACUUAAAAACAUAAGUCUAGAACAACGAACCGUGAAACCUUUAAAAUAAUAAUCUUUAUAUAUUAUUGUUUAAGGUUUCAAUAUAUUUUGUUAGUGGAUUCAGAAAAAAAUUCCUUCACCCCUUAUGUAAAUAUCUAUUUUCAAUAAUAAUAAUAAAAGCCUAUAGCUCAUACAUCAAUGAACUAGAGCUUAAAAAUGUGAAGCUAAAAGAUAAAAUUAGAAUAACACAAUAUACAAUCAGAAGUAACCAUUCAUCAAUUACACAAAAACAAAUAGGAAUCAUAUUUUCCAUCACAUCUAAAAUCAUUUCAAUCCUUUCUUGAUUCAAAUACGCAUGCUCACUCACCUCUUUCUAGUCGAUUAACUCAAUCAGAUGUUCGAAAUAUUUUGAUUUGUAGUGAUAACAUAACUAUUCAAAUGAAUGGUCACAUUUAUUAAUAAUAAACAUAAUUAUUCAAUAGACCUCUACUUGAAUAUUUAUGAAUUUUUAGUAAUAAUCAACAAAACACUUUUAGUAACAAGAGACAUAACUCAUCUCUAUAAAUAGUGAUAAUUUUGGUUGUGAACUCUUAACUAAUAAGCAAGUGACAUAAUUUUUAAAUAUUUUUAAUUUUCCAAUUAUCACUAUUAGAAUAUUAUACAUAUUUUGAAAAUGUUUCAACUUAUAAUAGCUUUUCACUAAAAUUAAAUAGGUGGUACUUGCAAUAAACUAAUGCCAAAGUAAGUAAUAACAUGAUCGCAGGCUACAGCAAGAAUUGAGAGCCACCAUAUUCUAUAAAAAUCUGAAGCUUGUGAAAGUACGAUCAAUAAUUACCAACAUAAUCGUGUAUGAAUUGUUGGACAAUUGACAUGGGUUUUUUAUAAGGUAAAUAGUAUCAUAUUUAUAGAUAUAUUAUUUUUAUUAAAAUUAAUACGUAUUAGUUUGUUUCGAUGUAUCCUUAUUUUUUAAAGAAAGGUAUUUAAUAUAUGUGUAUAAAAAUAUUCACAAUAUCAAAUAAAUAACACUAAAUAAAUUUUAAAUACAAAAUAUUCAUCAAUUAUAUAAAAUUUUCAAAAAUAAACUCUACAAAUAAAAUUCAUUAGUCAAUGGAUUAACAAGGAAAAGAACUUAAGGGUGAGUAGAGAUUUUUUUUUUUUGUAAUAAUGUGAAUAGGGGUUUUUAUAUUUUAAUUGUGAAAGUAUGUCCUAAAACUAAAACCUUUAAUGUUUAAAAUGUUAAACUUUACUUUUCAAUGUAAUCAUUUUGAUUCGUUAGUAAAUUCCAAUUAAGUAUUUAGAAUAAUAGUAAAUUAUUAAAAGUUUUUUUUAAUAUUAUUCAUGCAUCGGUUGGUGCACCAUGUUCCAAUCGGUGUGAUUGGAAUUGACCGAAAUCAGCCGAUGUAAUCGAUAUGAAUUGGAAUUUUCACCAGUGCAAAAAGUGGUGUUGCUUGUUCCACUUUAAAAUAGGAUGGACUCGGCAAAUUGGAGAUCUUGAAACGACAUGUUUUGGUUUGAUUUAAUUAAGUUUUUGUGAGUUAUAAUAAUCUGUUUAAUUUGGACUAGAAAUAAGUUUUAGGAACUGUGGUAUGGAUUUUGAUUUCGUUAGGACUCGUAAGAAUGCGGGAUUUUGGUUUUGAACGGAAGUUAUGAUUUAUCAUGCAUGGACUAUAGUUAAUCAAUUACUAUUCCUUUAUAAAGAACACACGAUUUCAAAAAAAUAACUUAUAGUUUCUGUUUUAAAAAUAAAUGAUGUAUUUUCUAAUGUACCUGAUUUUGAAAUUUCAGUUGACAAUUAGCAAAACUUGAAUUAUCUGCAAAAUGAAUAUUUACAAUUAUUAAAUUGGUUUUAUUUUAAUUCUAACAACGAUUAAACCCCUAAUUUGCAAAAUAUAAGUAAAGAUUUUAUUGGAUUUUGUUAAGCAUUAAAAGAAAAGGGUUUUCAAAAAGAGGUUUUUUAGAUUUGAUCAGUAUUUUAAUUUGGGACACUUUGGUGAGCAAUGUGACCUCAGGAAUUCGGUCGAAACUUCUGGGCUGAGUUUUGGGGGUGUUACAAUAAAUUUUAAAUAUAAAGAAUUCAUUAGUUAUAUAAAAUGCUCAUCAAUAAACUCCACAAAUAAAAUUUAUUAUUUAAUGAAUUAACAAGAAAGAACUAAAGGGUGAGUAGGGCCUUUUUUUUUUGAUAAUUAUGUGAAUAGUUAAAAGUUUUAUUUUUUAACCUAAUAUUUUAUGUAUUAUAAAGUUAAAUGAUAAUAGCACACAAAUUAAUGUUUAAUGAUAAAAAGAGGAGCCAUUUUUAUGUAUUAUAAAGUUAUAAAUUAAUAUAUGAUUAUAUUCAAACCCUAAAUGAAUGAAGGCACAUGUGAUUAAUAAAAUCAUAUUGAAUAGCCAAAAAUACACUUAUCCUUAGAUAAGAUAAUUUGCCAAACACUAGUGAAAUAGGAUUUAAUCUUCUUGGAGCUUUAGGAUUUGGCAAGUUAGGUUGGUCAAAUGCUAAAAGUUCAUUAACAUUAUUGCCUAACUCACUUAUUUUUGCAAUUGAAGUUCUCAAAAUAAUUUCUAUAUAAGCUCAAUUUUGAAAGUUUUUGCUAAAAAGCAACAAACCAAAAAUAUUUAGAUAUGGAAACAGAAAAUAACUUGGAGGGUUGUGGAGUUGAGAAAUUAGCUACUAUUCUAGCUAUUGGCACAACAAAUCCACCCAACUGCUUUUACCAAGCUGAUUAUCCAGAUUUCUACUUUCGAGUGACUAAAAGUGAACACAUGACGCAAUUAAAAGACAAAUUUCGACGAAUAUGUAAGUACCAUAGUUUUGUAAAAGCUAGGAAUGGACUGUUAUUUUAUAUGUAAUCUUCCACCAAAUUACUUUUCCAUUUCCUCACUAAUAUAGAUGUAAUUUAUAUAUGUUACCAGGUGAGAAAUCUACAAUAAAGAAACGUUACAUGCAGUUAAGUGAGGCCAUGCUGAAAGAGAAUCCCUGUUUAACUAUCUACAAGGCUCCAUCCUUUGACGUUCGUCAAGAUUUUCUUGUAAAGGAAGUACCAAAGCUUGGUAUGGAAGCAGCAUUGAAAGCCAUCAAAGAAUGGGGACAACCCAUUUCAAAGAUCACUCACCUUAUAUUUUGCACAUCAUCAGGGAUAGACAUGCCUAGUGCUGACCAUAAGCUUGCUAAUCUUAUUGGCCUCAAACCCUCUGUUCAAAGAUUCAUGAUUUAUAAUCAAGGUUGCUUUGCUGGAGCCACUGCCCUGCGCCUUGCCAAGGAUUUGGCCGAGAACAAUGCCAGUGCUCGUGUACUUAUUGUUUGCUCCGAGAACAUGGUCAUGAGUUUCCAACCACCUUCGGAGACCCAUUUAGACAUACUCAUUGGCUCCGCAAUAUUUUCCGAUGGGGCAGCGGCUUUGAUUGUUGGUGCUAAUCCUAUUGUCAGCAUCAACGAGUGCCCUUUAUUUCAAAUUGUAUCAGCAAGUCAAAGCAUUAUCCCUAAAUCUGAUGAUUUACUAAUAGGGAAAAUACGUGAAAUGGGGAUGGAGUAUUAUCUAUCGAGAAAUUUGCCUCAAUACGUGUCUAACAACAUCAAGCAAUGCAUGGUUGAAGCGUUUACUCCAUUUGGAAUCAGGGAAUGGGAAAAUUUGUUUUAUAUAGUUCAUCCUGGUGGAGUAGCUAUUCUUAAUGGAAUUGAAGAAAAACUUGGGUUGAAUAAGGAGAAGCUUAGAGCAAGUAGGCAUGUGCUAAGUGAAUAUGGAAACAUGAGGGGUCCAAGCGUGAUCUUUGUUCUUGAUGAGAUGAGGAAAAUGUCGGUGUUGGAAGGCAAAGCCACCACAGGUGAAGGUCUUGAGUGGGGCGUGUUGUUCGGGUUUGGGCCAGGUCUCACAGUGGAGACAUUGGUGCUUCGUAGCUUUGUUACAAAUUCAGCACCAUAAUCCAUAGUUAUUGCCGGUGUGUGAAACAAUAUGCGAAUGUGAACGAGAAGAUUGAUACAUGUUUCUUUAAAAAAAAACAACUUAAAAAUAUAAGUCUACAAUAAUGAACCAUGGAACCCUUAAAAUUUUCAUGUAUGAUAUAAUAAUCUUUAUAUAUUUUUAUUUUAGGUUUCAGUCUCUUUUCUUAGUGGAUUCAGAACAAAAUUCCUUUUGUAACACUUAAAUGUAACACCCCAAACUCUGCCUAGACGUUAAGACCAAGUCUGAAUGGUACAUCAAAACGUUUGAGGAAAACCAACCUCUAAGUAUCUUAAAAUUCAUCUUACAGAAAACACUUAACUACUUAAACCAACAUCACAUCCAAGUUUACAAACCAUAGUCCGAAAACAUACGUUAUUUAAAGUUUAAACAAACAAUAAAAUAUCUAGUAAGAGAUAUAACCGAGCUCCUAGCACACCGAAAAGAUUUAUUUUCUGUUGUACCUGAUUUUGAAAUUUCAGUUGACGAUUAGCAAAACUUGAAUUAUCUGCAAACUGAAUAUUUACAAUUAUUAAAUUGGUUUUAUUUUAAUUCUAACAAUGAUUAAACCCCUAAUUUGCAAAACAUAAGUAAAGAUUUUAUUGGGUUUUGUUAAGCAUUAAAAGAAAAGGGUUUUCAAAAAGAGAUUUUUUAGAUUUGAUCAGUAUUUUAAUUUGGGACACUUUGGUGAGCAACGUGACCUCUAGAAUUCGGUCGAAACUUCUGGGAUGAGUUUUGGGGUGUUACAAUAAAUUUUAAAUAUAAAGUAUUCAUCAGUUAUAUAAAAUGCUCAUCAAUAAACUCCACAAAUAAAAUUUAUUAUUUAAUGAAUUAACAAGAAAGAACUAAAGGGUGAGCAGGGCUUUUUUUUUUUUUUGAUAAUCAUGUGAAUAGUUAAAAGUUUUAUUUUUUUUAAUAUUAUGCAUGCGCUGUUCGGUGCAUUAUGUUCCAAUCGGUAUGAUUCGAUUUGAUCGAAACGAGUCGAUGUAAUUUAUAUGAAUCGAAAUUUUCACCAGUGCAGAAAAUGGUGUUGCUUGUUCCUCUUUAAAAUUGGAUCAAUGUACUUUAACUAUGACUGGAACUUAUGCAGUAUUGACCACCAUGUUCUUUCUACCACUCUCAUGGACUUUUUCAUUGUCCUUUCUAAUUCAAAACAAGAAAAGCUCGUACUUAAACCACAAUAAUUCAAAUUUUAUAUGGAUAUUUUGUGCAUGAAAAUCGUUACUCGUAUUAUAUUUAUCGAUGUUGCGAUUGUACACUCAAUAGAUAUGCCAAAGCUCUUGUCAACCAAUACCGAAUUUUUUUCUCAAUAAUCUUGAUAGAAAAAAAUAUUAGGUUCAAAAUUAGUAUUGUAAAGUUAAAUGAUAAUAGCACACGAAUAAAUGUUUAAUGAUAAAAAAGAGGAGCCGGUUUUAUGUAUUAUAAAGUUAUAAAUUAAUCCAUGAUUAUAUUCAAAUCCUAAAUGAAUGAAGGCACAUGUGAAAUAAAAUCAUAUUGAAUAGCCAAAAAUACACUUAUCCUUAGAUAAGAUAAUUUGCCAAACACUAGUGAAAUAGGAUUUAAUCUUCUUGGAGCUUGAGGAUUUGGUAAGUUAGGUUGCCCAAACACUAAAACUUCAUUAACAUUAUUGCCUAACUCAUUUAUUUUUGCAAUUGAAGUUCUCAAAAUAAUUUCUAUAUAAACUCAAUUUUGAAAGUUUUUGCUAAAAAACAACAAACCAAAAAUUUUUAGAUAUGGCAAGAGAAAAUAACUUGGAGGCUUGUAGAGUUGAGAAAUUAACUACUAUUCUAGCUAUUGGCACAACAAAUCCACCCAACUGCUUUUACCAAGCUGAUUAUCUAGAUUUUUACUUUCGAGUGACUAAAAGUGAACAUAUGACACAAUUGAAAGACAAAUUUCGACGAAAGUAAAUAGUUAUUAAGUCUUUAUAAUAAUAGUAAAUAGUUAAAAUUUUUAUUUUUUUACUAUUAUUCAUGCAUUGGUCAAUGCACCAUGUUCCAAUCGGUGUGAUUGGAAUUGAUUGAAACGAGCUGAUGUAAAUUAUAUGAAUUGAAAUUUUCACCAGUGCGGAAAAUAGUGUUACUUGUUCCGCUCUAAAACUAGAUCAAUGCGCAUUGACUUUUUUUUUGAACAACAAUGCGCAUUGACUUAUAUUCGGAUAAGAGCAUUAUUGAAAUAGCAAAAAAAAAAAUCCACUUAUCUUCGGAUAAGAGAAUUUGCCAAACACUUGUGAAAUAGGCUUUAAUCUUCUUGGAGCUUUAGGAUUGGACAAGUUGGGUUGGGGAAAUUAUUAACAUUAAAGCUUAAUUCACUUAUUUUUGUAAUUGAAGUCUUCAAAAUAAUUUUUAUAUAAACUGAAUUUUGAAAGCUUUUACUAAAAAGUAAGAAACUAAAAAUAUUUAGAUAUGGCAACAAAAAAUAACUUGGAGGCUUCUCAAGUUGAGAAAUUAGUCGCUACUCUAGCUAUUGGCACAACAAAUCCACCUAACUAUUUCUAUCAAGCUGACUAUUCAGAUUUUUACUUUUGAGUGAUUAAAAAGUGGACACAUGAUGCAAUUAAAAGAAAAAUUUAACGAAUAUUAAGUAUCAUAAUUUCGUAAAAGCUAAGAAUUGACUGUUAUUUUAUACCUACAUAUAUAUAAUCUUUCAUCAAGUGAAUUUUCCAUUUCUACACUAAUAUAAAUGUUCUUUAUGUAUCUUCAGGUGAGAGAUCUACAAUAAAGAAACGUUGCAUGUACUUAACUGAGGCCAUGCUAAAAGAAAAUCCCAACUUAACUAUCUACAAGGCUCCAUCUUUUGAUAUUCGUCAGGAGAUCCUUGUAACUGAAGUACCUAAGCUAGGUAUGGAAGCGGCAUUGAAAGCCAUCAAAGAAUGGGGACAGCCCAUUUCAAAGAUCACUCACCUUAUAUUUUGCACAUCUUCAGGGAUAGACAUGCCUAGUGCCGACCAUAAGCUUGCUAAGCUCAUUGGCCUCAAACCUUCCGUUCAGAGAUUCAUGAUUUAUAAUCAAGGUUGUUUUGGCGGUGCCUCUGCCCUACGUCUUGCCAAGGAUUUAGCCGAGAACAAUGCUAGUGCUUGAGUGCUUACCGUGUGCUCCGAGAUUAUUGUUGCGAGUUUUCAACCACCUUCGAACACCCAUUUAGACAUACUCAUCGGCUCUGCAAUUUUUGCCGAUGGGGCAGCAGCUUUGGUUGUUGGUUCUAAUCCUAUUGCCAGCAUCAACGAGCGUCCUUUAUUUCAAAUUGUUUCAGCGAGUCAGACCUUUAUCCCUGAGUCUGAUGAUAUGCUGAUAGGGAAAGUACGUGAAAUGGGAAUAGAGUAUUAUAUGUCAAGAGAUUUGCCUAAGUACAUUGCUAACAACAUCGUGCAAUGCAUGGCUGAAGCGUUUACUCCAUUUGGCAUCACCGAAUGGGAAAACUUGUUUUACGUAGUCCAUCCUGGUGGAGCUGCAAUUCUCAAAGGAGUUGAAGAAAAACUUGGGUUGAAUAAGGAGAAGCUUAAAGCGAGUUGGCAUGUACUAAGCGAAUAUGGAAACAUGCGAAGUCCAACCGUGUUCUUAACGAGAUGAGGAAAAUGUCAAUGUUAGAAGGCAAAGCCACAACUGGUGCUGGUCUUGAGUAGGGCGUGUUACAAAUACAGCACCAUAGUCCAUAGCUAUAACUUUAUUUCUGUUGAACAAAAUUUCUAGUGUGUGAAUCAAUAUGCAAAUGUGACGCAUACUCAAUAAAAUGAGAGGAUUGUUACAUGUUUCUCUAAAAAACAACUUUAAAAAAUAUUUAAUCUAGAAAAAUGAACCGUCAUGUAUUAUUGUUUCAAAUUUCAGUAUACUCUGUGCCUCUUAGUGUUCCCCUGACACAUGGAUUCAGUUUUGUGGUCAAUCUUUGUUUUCUCUUCUGGUCAAAGAGGGAAUUGUGUUCCCUUCUCCAAAUCCAGAAGGUUGCUAUAACAGAUCUGAAAUUUGAAGGUAAUAAUUGAGUUUUGCCAUCAACAUUAUACCCCGUUUGUUUUUCUUUCUUCAAACCGAUUGAAUGUUGCUUUAAUAAAUUUGAAAUGCCAGGAAAAUGGAUCAAAUUGAAGUUGACCAUUAUGUGGCCUUUUUUAAGGAAUUCUACCCACCAUAUUUCUUUUCGAUUAAUCAUCUCAAAAUUUGACCCAAACUUUAGGAGUUAUAAGAAUUGUUCCCAUUAAACCUUAAUAGUUUCUUCCUUUUUGUUACCUAGAAAAAUAGUAUUGUCUUUGUAGAAUCCGUUUUUAAUUAAAAAAAAUGAAAUUCUUUUUUGUAUAGAAGUAUUUCUACUUUCUUUCAUCCCUUCAAAAAUUUUUUUUUAAAGAAAGCCAGUUAGGGUUGAAUUAAAAAACAAAGAGAAGAGUGAUUUUUCUUCUAAAAUCUCCAAAAUAAGCUAUAGUUGAAGUUAUAUACUUCAAUCAUUACCUUGAAAUUUCGUACCUGUUAAAGCAACAUUCAACAGAUCAGUGGAUUUGGAGGAGGGAAGGUCUUUGACCCAAAGAGAAAACAAACGGAAUAUUAUGUUGACGGCAAAAUUCAGUUAAUUGGUAUAUAAUUAUAUUAUUUACGUGUCAAUAAAUAAGACAGAAAUUUUGUUAUUAUGAAAAAUAAAUGCAAUGAGCGCUAGGGGGCCGGAAUUAUAAUUUGGUUCUUACAUAAAUUAUAUAAUUAUAAAUUGACUCUUUUAAACAUUUUCUUCUUACACAUAUUUUAUCUUUAUUUUUUUGGCUAUUGUUGAUCUUUUAGGUUUUGUUUGAGUUACAUUCUUCAAUUAUUUUUUUGUCAAUCCGUGUUAAAAUUGGUACUUGCCUUUAAUACCAUUAAAAACAUUCCCAAUCAAAUCACUCCCUUAAAAUAUAUUUAAUUUUUUUAUAUUAAUAUUAAAUAGAAUAAUUAUAUUAAAAUUAAAAUUAAAAAAAUUGCAUCCCCUCCCGCUCUCUCCAUCUUCAAAGGUUUUGGAGGGGCUCCGGUGGAUGAAUGAGUGAUUUUGGAUAAGUUAAUAUAGUGUAGGGAAAUGAGUGGUUUUUGGGUUUCGGUUGGAAUGAUGAUUCUGCUUUAUUUAGUUUGUUAUAGUUUUUUUCACAUUUUUGUAUAUAUAUAUAUGAUAUUCGUACAUGAAUUACCGUGACUUACUUAAAGGAUGUUAUGUUAUGACAGAUUUUGAAGAAUGGAUUCAAGAGUUAUGUAUUUGAGUUGCUAUUUGAGUUUUAGAAUAAUGAUUUCUGGUUCAUUUUGAAGCUGAAACUUUUUCAAGGUUGAUCGUUUUGUUGUUUUAUUUGAUUCAAUGUUACCGGUUAAUGCUUGGUAAUUGAGCUAUUGUUAUGGGUUUAAACGGAAAGACAUUUGGCUUAAAGUUGGAGAGAGAGAGAGGGUGUUAUGAUUUAAAAGGAAACACAUCUCGUUUAAAGAUGGAGAGAGAGAGGAGGACGUGGGGAGGAAUAGUUAUUUUAUGUUUAAUAUUUAUAUAAAAUUAUCUUUUAAUGGGUGGUGACAUGGUGCAAUUCUAUUGGUUAAAAAAUAGAUCAACUCAAAAAUAGUUUAGAUGUCUAAUUCAAACAAAAUGAAUAAUUUAAAGGCUUCCGGUUAAUUUAGCCUUUUUUUUUUUUAGGUUGACUUUGAUAAAAGAAAAAAUGAAGGGCUCCUUAUCCAAAUUAGGAGGGCAUCCACUUAGCUCUAGGCCUAACUCGAUCAAAAUCAAAACAACACCAGAAAUAAGUCCCGCAAGUAUAUGGAAUACCAUUUUAAUCAAUGUUUUAGGCUUCAUUUGUUUUAUUGACAUAAUGAUGAAAAAGGAUCGUGGUUACAGGUCAUUUGUCAUAAGACAAAUUAUUUAGUUACUUUGAAUUAGUAAUUGACUUUUUUAUAUCGAAAAAUGUAAUAGAUAUUAUGAUUGGGAGAACAAAUUUUAUCCCAAAGAGAUUAAGAAUAUUUUAUGAGGGUAACUAACUUAUGACAAGAUCAUUGAAUGAGUACUUAACUAGUAGCUUUCGUAAUAGCAUAUAAUAAGGUAGAGUUUAAUUAUGGUAUUACAAUGGAACGACUUAAUGAUUAAAUAAUGUUGUAAUUAAUAGGUGAAAAAGUUAAAACUUAAUUACAAAUUAUUUGUGUAUUAUUUAUAUUUGUCUGGCUAGUCUAUCUGCUAACUCAAUAUAAUCAAUAACGAAGUACAUGUUAAAAUUGAUAUUGUGCAAUGAAUGAGAACGAUAAGUAGGAAAAAUAGAUCGCAUGUAUCACAAUUUAUAGUGAAUGCAUUUUCCCGCUAAGUACAAAAAAGAUUAAAUUCAUUUAUUCAAAUUAUUAUUUAAUUAUUUAUAAUUAAAUAAGUGAAGUUCAAAGUCAAAAUUCAACUAAUUACUCAUCAUAAUUUAUUGAAUGAGACAAUUACAUAUAUUUCCUCAUAGAUUUUAAUACCAUAAAGUUGUCAUAAAUUUAACGAAAUUAGAAUUGGAUUGAAAAAUAAUUUAAUUGAGAAAUUAAUUGGCUUAAGAGUCAAAAAAGUCCUUAGUAAAAAAUGAAAAAAAUCAUUUGAGCUCUUAAGAAAAAAAAUGCACCCUGUUAAAUCUUUAAUGACCAAAAAAUUAAUCAACUAGGUCAUUUUGUUAAUGGAAACCGUUAGUUGACCAGUUUAACCGUUAAAGGCACUGACAUGACUGACGACAAUCACUAAGAGAUGACACAUGGCAUGCCAUGUGAAAGAAUGUUGAUAUGACAUGACACAUCAACAAAAAAUUCAUUUUUUAAUAAAUAUUUUUUAAAAAUUUUAUUUAAAAAAUAAUUAAUAAAAAUUACAUCUAGAAUGAAUCUGGACAUAAUGUUGUCCAGAUCUAUUUGAAUCUAGAUAAUUACUUGUCCAAAUUUGUUUUAGAUGAGUUCAAAAUUUUAAAAAAAAAAAGAAAUUAUAAAAAAUAUUAAUAAUGAUUUAGAAAUUCUAAAAAUUAUAAAUAAAUAAAAAAGAAGAUAAUAUAUGAUUAAGGUCCUAACUUCAGCCCUAUGAUUAAGACCCGCUAUGCUAUUUUGCAACAGCAUAUUUCCCUGUGCUGUCGGUUUCCACUUUCGGUCAUUUGACUUCCUUUUUGAACCAAGUGAGUGUCUAAAUUUAUAAAAAAAAAAUGGGAACCAGAAACUGAAAAAAAGGAGCAAUAUACUGCUUUGGAAUUGAAUGUGAUUGCAACCUGUUGUCGUUGAUGGUGGCUUUUGCUGAGUAUGUGGUUAAAGUGGGUGUUCAGAAAUGCAUAUUCCAGUUUUCAAACAAUGACUGCAAAUGGGGUUGUAUUUCAUGUUCAAGUUAAAUAGAGCAAAUCCUAUUUCAGGCAAUCCACCUUCCAGUGGUUUGGUUAUGAGGCCGGGACUGAGUUAAUUCCACAAGAAUCAAAGCAUUCCUUCACCCUGAAUUUGUUAAAGCUGUACGUGUGUGUGGAGUUUGAUUGAGUCAAGUAGUUGGUUAAAAAGAUCUGUCUUGUGCAAAUAAUCUAUUAAUAAUUUAUCAAUAUUUUACUAUUAUUUCUCCUCUAAUUUCAAUAUUCUGUUUAGUGGGAUUCCUAUUUCCUAGCUAUUAAGGUUGAAAUUUUGACUAUUUAAAGGCAUUGAUUAGCGACUAAUAAAAAGUAGAAAUCAGUUCAAUUCUCAUCUGUCUCUAUUGCUAAUCCUUUUCUUUAUAGAAUAAAAACUUAGCAGCAGCUUUUAUUUUUCAACAUUGGUAUCCAAGCUAGGUUUAAGCCUUAGAUUUUUCAGCAGCAACAGUAAGCAAAGUGAUGGCCAUCUACAACUUUGUUCAACCAUCCAUUCCCCGCUUUGAUGGACACUACGAUCAUUGGAGUCUGUUGAUGGAGAACUUCUUGAGGUCCGAGGAGUAUUGGUAGGUUGUUUCUGAGGGAAUUGAGGAACCAACAAAUGACACAGUAGUGACAAGGGCUCAGAAGAAGGAAAUAGAAGGGUUGCGCUUGAAAGAUUUAAAAGCAAAAAAUUAUCUUUUCCAAGCAAUUGACUGUUCAAUCUUGGAAACCAUCCUUUGCAAAGACACGUCCAAGCAUAUUUGGGAUUCCAUGAAGAAAAAUAUCAGGGUUCUGCGAGGGCAAAGAGGCAGCGACUUCAAGCACUUCGUUCGGAGUUUGAAACACUACGAAUGAAAUCGGGUGAGUCGAUAACCCAUUAUUUUUCAGGUACAAUGGCCAUUGUCAACAAAAUGCGAAUUCAUGAAGAUAAAAUAGAUGAUGUUGCUGUGAUUGAGAAAAUACUUUGCUCCAUGACUACAAAAUUCAAUUUUGUAGUUUGUUCCAUUGAGGAAGCUCAUGUCAUCGAGGAACUUUCAAUUGAUGAGCUACAACGUUCUUUGUUGAUACAUGAGCAGAAAAUUUGCCAGCAAGAGAAGGAGCAUCAUGCAUUGAAGGCUUUUAAAGAUAAUCAUCUCACAACCAGAGGAGGUCAUGGUAGAGGAAAAUGUAGAGGCGAAGGUAGAGUAAACAAUGAUCAUGGUUACCACCAGCACGAGUCUCAUUCCCAAAAGAGAGGAAGAGGAAGAGGAAGAGGAGGUCAUCACUCUACAUCUUUCAGAACAAAGUCAACAGACGAAUCUAAUGUUGAGUGUUUUCAGUGUCACAAGUAUGGCCAUUAUCAAUCAAAAUGUCGAGUUAAUUUGAAUAAUAAAAAUAGAGACAGAACUAACUUUGCAGAAAAUGAAGAAGUAUCUUUGCUGAUGGCUUAUCAUGUCAAAGAAGAAACGUAGAAGAAUUUAUGGUAUUUGGACACAGGCUGCAACAAUCAUAUGAGUGGCGACAAGUCUGCGUUUUCGGUGUUAGAUGAGUCUAUUCGUGACAAUGUGAAGUUUGGUGAUGAUUCAAAAGUCUCUGUAAUAGGGAAGGGAAAGGUAACAAUUCAAAUGAAACGUAAUGUUGUUUAUACUAUAUCUAAUGUCCUCUUUGUUCUAGAUUUGAAAAUAAAUUUGUUGAGCAUUGGCCAACUACAAGAAAAGGGAUAUGAGAUUUCGAUUAAAGAUGAAGUUUGUAGAAUACAAGAUGAAAAAUUAGGAUUAAUUGCCCAAGUUGAUUUGACACCUAACAGAAUGUUUUUAUUGUACCUCUACACCAUCACCAACUCAUGCUUCUCUACAAGGUUGCAAGAUGAAAGUUGGCUUUGGCACUUUCGGUAUGGGUAUUUAAAUUUUGGAGGUUUAAAAAUAUUACAGCAAAAGAAUAUGGUGACAGGCCUCCCACACAUCCAAACUCCUUCUCAAGUAUGUAAAGAAUGUGUCAUUAGUAAACAACAUCGAGAACCAAUUCAAAAAGGAAAAUCAUGGAGAGCGAGGAAGGCAUUGGAGCUUGUGCAUUCAGACUUAUGUGGACCGAUCGCUCCUACGUCAAAUGGAGGUAAACGAUAUUUUAUAUCGUUCAUUGAUGAUUUUAGUAGAAAAACUUGGGUUUAUUAUUUGCAUGAAAAAUCUAAAGCUCUCACAUCCUUUAAGAGUUUCAAAGCUCUAGUUGAAAAAGAAGCAGGGACUCCAAUCAAGGUGUUGCGUAGUGAUCGUGGUGGAGAAUACAAUUCAGAAAAAUUUGUUAUUUUUUGUGAUAAGAAAGGAAAUAAGAAGCUACUAACAGCAACAUACACACCUUAACAAAAUGGCAUCUGCAAAAGAAAGAAUCGCACAAUUUUGAACAUAGUACGAAGUCUUUUAACAAGGAGCGGAGUUCCAAAAGUUUUUUGGCCUGAAGUCGUUGAACUAGCAAAUGUGCAUCCUUAACGUAACAGGAAGGGACCUGCAUGGAUGGAGAAUUUUGUGGUAGAGGGAAUUAAUGAAGAGGAAGUUACACAUUUUGCUCUAUUUUCAGAUUGUGAUCCAGUAGCAUUUGAAGAAGCCGUAAAAGAGUCCAAAUGGAAAAAAGCAAUGAAUGAAGAAAUGGUAGCCAUUGAACGUAACAACACUUGAGAGUUGACUGAUCUUUCCAAAGGGCACAAAACAAUUGGUGUGAAGUGGGUUUACAAGACAAAACUGAAGGAAAAUGGCGAGGUUGACAAAUUCAAGGCACGCUUAGUAGCUAAAGGCUAUAAGCAUGAAUUUGGUGUUAAUUACAAAGAGGUGUUUGCCCCUGUUGCUGUCAUGAUACAAUCAGGCUGGUGAUUACUCUUGCGGCUCAAAAUUCGUGGCCUAUUUUCCAAUUAGAUGUGAAAUCGGUGUUUUUACAUGGUGAUUUGAAAGAACAAGUGUUUGUUGAGCAACCUCCUGGAUAUGUAAAGCAUGGAAAUGAGCACAAGGUGUAUAGGUUAAAGAAGGCUUUUUACGGGUUGAAGUAAGCCCCAAGGGCUUGGUAUAGUCGUAUCGAAGCUUACUUUCUAAAAGAAAGCUUUCUAAGUUAUUCAUAUGAGCAUAAACUUUUUACCAAGGUUGGUGAUGGAGGUAAAAUGAUUACUGUUUGCUUAUAUGUUGAUGAUCUUAUUUCUAUUGGGAGUGAUGUUGCCAUGUUUUACAAAUUCAAGAAGUUUGUGAUGAUUGAAUUUGAUAUGACUGAUCUUGGUAUGCUUAAUUAUUUUUUGGGCAUUGAAAUGGUGCAAUCUGCUGUUAAAAUUUUUAUUUCUCAAAAUAAAUAUGUGUAAGAAAUUUUAGACAGGUUUCAAAUAAAGAAUUGCAACUCCGUUUGCACACCUACUGAAGUGGGCAUGAAGCUUAUUCGAGAUCCUGAAAGGAGGAAGGUUGAUAGCACCAUCUACAAGCAAAUGGUGGGAAGCUUGAUGUAUUAAACUGCAACAAGACUAGACAUUAUGCAUGUUGUAAGUCUCAUUAGUAGGUUCAUGGAGUGCCCAAAGGAAAUUCAUCUUUUAAUUGCAAAAAAAAUACUUCAGUAUUUGAAAGGUACUGCUAGUUAUGGUCUGUUCUACAAAAAGGGUGAAAAAUCAGAUUUGUAUGGCUUUACAGACAAUGAUUAUGCUGGUGAUCGAGAUGAUAGAAAGAGUACUUCAAGUUAUGCAUAGAAAGAGUACUUCAAGUUAUGCAUUUAUGCUGGGCUCAGGGGCUAUUUCUUGGUCUUUAAAAAAACAACAAAUUGUCACUUUAUCUACAACUGAAGCCGAGUUUGUGUCCGCAACAGCUUGUGCUUGUCAAGCUAUUUGGUUGAGGAAAAUACUUGACGAACUACACUUAUUGCAACAAGGAGCAACAACAAUUUUCUGUGACAAUAAUUCAGCAAUCGAACUUUCCAAGAAUUUGGUGUUACAUGGACGAAGCAAGCAUAUAGAUGUGAAGUACCAUUAUUUGAGGGAUCUUACAAAUAAUGGCGUCAUUGAUUUGAUUUGUUGUAGGAGUGAAGACCAAAGUGCUGAUAUUUUCACUAAAUCUUUAAAGAGAGCUGCAUUUCAGAAGUUAAGAAGGUUGCUUGGUGUCUGCACUUUGGAAGAUCCAUCAGUUUGAAGCUAUAAUCUUUUAAACCAAAUAUUUGCGAGUUUUUGGUUUAAGGGAGAGUUUGUUAAAGCUAUACGUGUGUGUGUGGAGUUUGAUUGAGUCAAGUAGUUGGUUAAAAAGAUCAUGUAUUGUGCAAAUAAUCUGUUAAUAAUUUAUCAAUAUUUUACUGUUAUUGCUCCUCUAAUUUCGAAAUUUUGUUGUAGUAGGAUUCCUAUUUCCUAGCUAUUAGUUGUUGGAAUUUUGCCUAUUUAAAGGCAUUGAUUAGUGGUUAAUAAAAAGUAGAAAUUAGUUCAAUUCUCAUCUGUCACUAUCGCUAAUCAUUUUCUUUAUAGAAUAAAAACUUAGCAGCAACUUUUAUUUUUCAACAGAAUUUAUUGUAUUUGAAAAAAGGGAUUAAUCAAGUUACAGAUGAUGUCUGGCUUCUACUUGCGGACCAUACAUACGGAUACAGUAUAUAUAUUUGCAAAUAAUAGCUUAAUGAAACAUAUGGUUGUCAGGCAGUGGAGGGGAUAAAUAUAUAUAUAGAAAAGAGGGUUGUUGGUACCAUUUUUUUGGAUGAAAAUGGGGUCGACUUGGGUUUUGAAAAAAAGAAACGGGAAUGGGAGUCGCCACCAAUCCUUUUUUAUGAGGUGUGAUUGGAUUACCUCGAAAAAUGGUUAUUUUUAAUAAACGGUUUGAUUUUAUUAAAACAACAAGUUUGGUCCACGAAAUUCAGAAAAAACAAAAUGGGUUCGGGAGUCGGUUACGCACGAGGAAGGAUUAGCACCCUCGAUACGCCCAAAAUUGGUACCUAGUUGAUUACUUAAUGUCUUAAUGUCAAAAAUUGAGAACCUUGAAGAAUUUUAAAAAUACGAUCCUUAUAUUAAAACGUUGAAAAUUUUCAGAGAAAAAAAAAAGGGGCAUAUUUCACGUUAUUCGAGAAGGAGAAUCAUAUCCAGUAAGUUAGGACACAAUGUCUCAAAUUCCCGAUACGCGGAUGAAAAAUGCUUAUUUAAAAGAUAUUUUAUUAUCUUGGUUUUAGAAAUAAAUCAGGCCCAGUAAGUUAGGGCACGAUCUUUUCUUAAUUCCCGAGAUCGUUUAAAAACUUGAGUUUGAAAAGAUUCGUGUAUUUAGAUUUAUUAUGAAAAUCGAAACCCAGUAAGUUAGAGUACGAUCCUUUCGAAUCUAAACACGAAAUAUUUUUUAAAACAAAUUUUGUUAUACCGAGUAAAAUAAAACAUGAAAAUCGUAGUAAAAUGUGAAAACAAAUUACAUUGUUGUUAUACGUGGUAAAAUCAUAAUACACAUAAAAAAUAAAAAAUAAUACGAGCAAUAGCAACGAUAUAAAAUAAAUAAAAGUCAUACGUACAAUCAUAUAAAAUAACAAUAUAUAUAAACAAAUAAAUUAAAACAUUCAUUCAAAAUAAUAACGAAAAUGAAAUAAAUAAGUAACAAAUACAAUUAAAUAUAAAAAGAUAUAUAGACAUAAACUAAAAUAUGUAUAUAUAUAUAAAUUAGCAAAAUGUAUAAAGUAUAUUUUAAUAUAUAAAAGAAACGAUAAUAUGUAUAUAUAAAAAUAUGUACAUAUAUAUGGGUGUAUAAAACUAUGGAAUAUGAAAAUAAUAAAAUACAUAUAAAGUAAGUACAUAUAUAUGUUGAAAAUAAAAGAAAGAAUGUAUGUACAAAUUAAAGUUUAAAAUAAUGAAAAUAUACGUAUGUAUACGAAUAAAUACGUUAAUUUUGAUACAUGUUAAAAAAGUAUAUUGAAAAUGUAUAUAUAUAUUUAUGUAAAUUAAGAUAUACAAAAAUAUGUAUGUACGUACAUAUAAAAAUAUAUAUACUUAUAAAAUAAAAGGAUAUGUACGUAUAUAAAUUAAUAGUAACAUGUGUGUAUAUAUGGAUUUAUAAAAAAGGAGUAUAUUUUAAACUAUAAAGAUUAUAUAUAAAUAUGUAUAUAUUUAGGAAAAUGAAAAUAUAUAUAUAAAUGUAUAGAUAUGUACAUAAGUUGUAAAAUAUAUAAACUAUAUAAGUAUAUAUGUUAUAAAAACAAUGUAUGUAUAUCACAAAAAUAUAUGCAUGUAUAUGUAUAUAUGUGCCGAAAAUUUAAAUAAAAUAAACAUAAACAAAUAGGUAAUAAUAAUAAUAAUAAUAAUAAUAAUAGGACUAAAUCAAAACGGAAACGAAAUCUCAGGGCUGAAAUCAAAAAUGAAAUAGAGUAAAGGAUUAAAAUGUGAGGCGCGCGAAAAGGGAAGGACUGAAAAGGGAAAUAUUCCCUCCUAGAGUGCCACGUUUCAGCGCAAAGGACCAUACAUGGUCAAAGGACCUGAUUGAAACAUAAACAAAACUCGCGGCCCAAAUCAAAAAAAAUAAAAGGUUUGAUUGCAUUUCGACGCAAGAUGGAGGGACUAAAUACAUAAAUUACCCAUUAGGGCAAAGCAUGCACAAAUCCCCCCAUCACCUGGCGCCGUUUCUUCUAACAUAAAUACCCAAUAAAGAAAAAAUGUUGCUUCAUUUUUCUAAAGAAAAACAGAGGGCUCAGCCCCUCUCUCUCACAGGCUCCAAGUCCCGCCGAUAGGGCCGUCGCCGGCGCCGCCGUGACCCUCGCCGUCAUCAGUGACCGGGGCAACGCAAAGGUCACCCCUUUGGUCCGUUUUUGAAACACUUGAAGGCCUAAACUCCUAGACUUCAAGGCCGAAAGGAGAAAAACCACGUGCCCCCUUUUCACGUCCUGAUUUCGAUGACCGAAAUGGCCGGCGAAGGGCUCUCCGGCGAUCCCAGGUAUUCUCCUUCCUCUCUUUUUUUAAAUAAUUUUCUUAAGAAAACGAUUUCGAAAAAAAAAAGAAAAGAAAUCGACAAAGAAAAAAAACGAAGAACAAAAACAGCAACCCUUUUUAUUGAUUUCUGAUUUUUUUUGUCUCCGAAAAUUCCCCCAUCGUCGGCCAAAUGGGCCACCGUCGACCCCGCCGUGAGUGGUGGUCAGAAGCCCGAACGUCGGGUUUUUAAACCCUGCUUCAAGAACCAACUGAAGACUAAGUCUUCAUGGCCUCGGGGUCGCGAGAGAAAAAUCAAAUCGCUGCCUUCCCCGCCCAAUUUCGGUGACCCGAAGUCGGACUCCGGCGACGACACUUGCGAGGCGAUUUAGGUAAGGUUCUUUCUCCUUUUUUAUUUCGUUUUUGUUAAGAUAGAUUCAUUAUAUAAAAGAAAAAACAAGCAAAUAUAAAACAAACAAAAGAGAAUAGGAAGUCUGAAUCCACCUUUAAAUGUUUUCUCUGCCUUUUUUCAUUAGCUGUUGUGUUGUGAAAAUGUUACAAAAGGAAAGACCCGAUUAUAGUGAUCAAGCUUUCCCCCCCUCUUUUCAUUGGUUUGAAUAGCUUUAUAUAGCCCUAAUAUAUUUUUUAUUAUUUGUUGUCUUUUCUUCUUGUAGAUGGCAGUGCAAGUGGAGGGCAGGUGCGGCGGCAACAGGUGGAGCAGGUGGUGGCAAAGUUGGUGGUGACAGAGGGUUAGGGGUUAGGUUUUUUUUUCUGAAAGUGUUUGGGUUAUUGGGCUAGUAGUUGGGCUUUGGGUCUGUUUUGGGUCUUGGGUUUGGGCUGGUUCAAAUUGGGCUUGUACAACUGCCCCUCUUGGCUCGUUGUCGUGUAACGAUAACAGAGCAAAGACUAAGAAAGCCCAAUUUUGCCCGGUCUCGUCGAGUCUCGACUUCUUGGUGCUUUUCUUCUUCAGGUAGCUUCAUUCCAGUCCACUGUCUUGUCGUUUCAAUCUAUUGCACUUCAAAAAGCUCUGACUUGUAGUUUCAAUCUUCUUCUGUUGUAACUUCAAGGGGUAAGGUCCAUCAUUCUGACCCGCUUCACUGCAACUUUAGGGAGAUCAGACUCAUAUCUUCAACUUGCUACACUACAACUUCAGGGGGAUAAGAUUCGUUGUUUUCAAUCUAUUCCACUGCAUCUUCAGGGAAAUAAGACUUGAUGCGACCUACUCUGCUGUAACCUCAGAGAGAUAAGAUCCUUUAUUUUAAUCCAUUCCACUGUAACUUCAGGGAGAUAGGAUAGUGUCUUCGAUCUGCUCCGCUGUAAUCUCAGGGAGAUAAGAUCUCUGGCUUCAAUCUGCUCCACUGUAACCUCAGGGAGAUAAGAUCUGAAAUUCUUUGGUCUGUUCCACUGUAAUCUCAGGGAGAUAAGACCUGAUGUGAUCUUCUCUACUGUAACUUUAGAGAGAUAAGAUCCUUUAAUCCGCUCCAUUGUAAUCUCAAGGAGAUAGGAUUACUAUCUUUGAUCUGCUCCGCUGUAAUCUCAGGGAGAUAAGAUCUGAAAUUCUUUGGUCUAUUCCACUGUAAUCUCAGGGAGAUAAGUCCUGUAUUAUGAACCUAAUUAUGCCUAAUGAUUAGGAUGACAUGAUCAAAAUGAAACAAAUGCUCCUAACUAGACAUAUGUGAAUGGUGUUUGCAUGAAUGCAGAAUUUUAUUUUUCCGAGAAUGAUCUCGCUUAGGUUAUCACUACUCGAAGUUUAUCAAGGUUUUGUGACUGAUGUGCUACAACGCCUUCUCGCUUGACUGAUUUUUCUGAAGAAACAUUUAGCCAGACUGUCCCCCUUGUAAACCUCAAAGUUAUAUCCACCGGGACGCCAAAAUUUGUACCAUCAUUCUCUCACAGUAAUCUAAAGGUGGAAAUAUGUGGCCUUUCCUCUGUCCUCUUUUAUCACAAUUUGGGGAUAUAGGAUCUGAACCGUUCUGGUUUCCUACACCAUUCUCAAGGUGUCGUACCAAAGUCUUAUGCGUAAGUGAAGGCUCUCUUCUCCGAGGUAACCUCUUCCUAUUGCCUGAUGAUCAUUGCUCGCUUGUUCAUUUAAGCUUUGUAAUUAACAUGACAACUUGUCAUUUUGUUCAAUCAAUGUUUUAGACAACAAAAUCUGAAAGGAUAGUCUUUAGCUUAGACUCUUCCAUCUUAGAUAUUUCACCCUUUAAACUUGGUAUUUUCUAAACAAUAGUCAUGUUUCAGGUCCCUAUUAUUUAGAAAUUUUCCAGAGUAACGUGCAAAACUUCUUUCCUGAAAGUUCUAUUAGCUCGUUGAUCAUUAUUCCUAUGCGACAUGUUUGCAAAAAGACCAUAACAAUGGAUAAGAAUAAAGCUAGUUCUGAUCAUAACUCGAAUAAAAACAUCAAAGAUGGCGAAAGAAGGGUAACAAAGAAGUGGAUUGAGAAUGUGCGUUUUCACAAAAGGAAAGGAAGAAAGAAAGAAAAUAAAGGAAAUGUAUUUCAAGAAUACACAUAAGAACUAGGUGCCCCAGUUAUCGCCGCUUGAGUUUCCCUGUACAAACUUUCCGAAGACCCUUCUAAGUUUGACAUGUGUUCAGGAGAUCUGCAAUACUCUGUCAAUGUUCCGAGACGUUGCAUAUCCUUCCUUAUUGGUAAAGCAAGAUCAUCAUAUGCCCCUGAUCAAAAUUUGAUCCGCUCAAGUCCUGAUGUUCCAAUCCUGCCCAAUACUUGAGUCGCCCUUUUCGGGUUUUCGACUCAAGCCUCUCCAAAGUCCUUUUUUUUUUUUUUUUUUUAGGAAGCAAAGCGCCCUUCACGGGUUUUCACUUUGGUUCCGCUUUCUUUCAAGUGAAGUAUUUCUUGACAGAGUCUGCGUUUACAGGAUUUGGUAAACUUUUGCCAUCCAUCUCGCAUAGGAUCAAAGCUCCACCGGAAAAGGCCUUCUUUACAACAUAAGGGCCUUCCCAAUUUGGCAUCCAUUUUCCUCUAAAAUCUUUUUGCAUAGGAAGAAUCUUUUUUAGUACCAAGUCCCCUUCACGAAAUUCUCGGGGGCGAACCUUUUUAUUAUAGGCUCGCAUCAUUCGUUUCUGGUACAUUUGCCCAUGGUGAAUAGCUCUUAGCCUCUUUUCUUCUAUUAGGUUCAACUGAUCGUACCGAGAUUGGAUCCAAUCGGCUUCAUCCAACUGUAGCUCAGAUAACACCCGUAGAGAAGGGAUUUCAACUUCAAUGGGUAAUACUGCCUCCAUUCCAUAAACCAGAGCAAAAGGCGUUGCCCCAGUAGAAGUUCUAACAGAUGUUCGAUAGGCGAGGAGAGCAAAUGAUAGUUUCUCAUGCCAAUCUUUGUAGGUUUCAGUCAUUUUCCCCACAAUCCUUUUAAUGUUUUUAUUGGCUGCCUCCACUGCACCAUUCAUUUUGGGACGAUACGGCGAUGAGUUAUGAUGCUUAAUUUUAAAUUUGCUACAAACUUCAGCUAUUGUGCUAUUAUUCAAAUUCAUCGCAUUGUCGGAUAUGAUCCUCUCAGGCAUUCCAUAUCGACAAAUGAUCUCCUUCUUCAAGAAUUUGCUGACUACUGCUUUUGUGACAUUUGCAUAUGAAGCAGCCUCCACCCACUUGGUAAAGUAAUCAAUUACUACGAAGAUGAAGCGAUGCCCAUUAGAAGCCUUUGGUGAUAUUGGCCCAAUAACAUCCAUACCCCACAUGGAAAACGGCCAAGGAGAGGUCAUGACGUGAAGAGGUGAAGGAGGCGCGUGUAUUUUGUCUCCGUAAAUUUGGCAUUUGUGGCACCUCCUGGCAUGAUCAAUGCAAUCUCCUUCCAUGGUGGGCCAAUAGUACCCAAAUCUCAUGAUCUGUUUGGCCAUCGUGAAACCACUGGCGUGCGUCCCACAAAUACCCUCAUGGACUUCUUCCAAAAUUUUCUUGGCUUCUACCGCAUCUACACAUCUUAACAGUACUUGAUCCUUCCUUCUUUUGUAUAACACUUCUCCAUCUAAGACAUAUUCAAUGGCUAUCUUUCUCAGAGUUCUUUUGUCAUUCUCUGUCGCUUGAUCAGGGUAUUCCCGAUUCUUCACAUAUUGUAAGAUACUCCGAUACCAAGGACAAUCAUCUUUUCCCUCCUCCUCAAUAUUGCAACAAUUAGCCGGGGUCUCAGAGAUACUCAUCUGAACAGGCCUCAUUGCCUCAAGUCUAUUCACCUGAAUCAUCGAAGCUAGAGUAGCUAAUGCAUCAGCCAUUUGGUUUUCCUCCCGUGGGAGGUAAUAGAAGGUGAUAUCGUCAAACUCCUCAGCCAAUUCAAGAACUAGUUUUCUAUAACCAAUUAGCUUAGGAUCUCUAGUCUCCCACUCCCCUUUGAGUUGGUAUAUCACCAACGCUGAAUCCCCGUAUACUCUCAGUACUUUGAUGUUCCGUUCAAUGGCUGCACGAAUGCCCAUAAUACAUGCUUCAUAUUCUGCCAUGUUAUUUGUACAAUCGAAGUCCAACUUGCUGGCUACAGGAUAAUGAUCUCCACUCGGGGAUACCAAAACUGCCCCAACUCCAUUACCCGUAGCAUUCGAAGCUCCAUCAAAAUUUAACUUCCAUACGUGAUCCAUUUGAGGGUUUUCUUCAGUAUUCGCCACAUACAUCAAGUCCUCGUUUGGAAAAUCGAAAUUCAAAGAUUCAUAGUCCUCCAAGGCUCUACUAGCUAGGAAAUCGGCUAUUGCACUUCCCUUUAUGGCCUUCUGACUGACAUAUACUAUAUCAAAUUCUGAGAGCAAGAUCUGCCAUCUAGCCAUUCUCCCGUUCAAAGCAGUUGAUUCCAUCAUAUAUUUUAAAGGAUCUAACUUUGAAAUCAGCCAAGUCGUGUGAUACAACAUAUACUGCCUCAGUCUUCGGGUUGCCCAGAUUAGAGCACAACACAACUUCUCAAUUGAUGAGUACCUCAUCUCGCAAUCGGUAAAUUUCUUACUGAGAUAGUAUAUUGCCCUUUCUUUCUUUCCUGUCUCAUCAUGUUGGCCCAAUACGCAUCCCAUGGAAUUCUCCAACACUGUUAGAUACAAUAUCAAUGGCCUAUCUGGACUUGGAGGUGAUAAGACUGGAGUAUUAGCCAAGUACUGUUUUAUCUUAUCGAAAGCUCUCUGACACUCUUCAUCCCAUUCGCCCGGGUUAUGUUUCUUUAAGAGCCGGAAUACUGGAUCACAUUUCUCUGUCAGUUGUGAGAUGAACCGAGCGAUGUAAUUCAGCCUCCCUAGGAAACCUCGAACCUCCCUCUGAGUGCGCGGGGGAGGUAAAUCUCGUAUUGCCUUUACUUUGUCUGGGUCAACCUCGAUCCCCUUUUUGCUAACUAUGAAGCCUAAUAACUUCCCUGAUCUGGCUCCGAACGUGCAUUUGGCCGGGUUAAGCUUGAGCUGAAAUUUCUUUAAUCUCAAAAAUAACCUUUUCAAAACCUGAACAUGCUCUUCUUCCGUUCUGGACUUCGCGAUCAUAUCGUCAACAUAGACUUCGAUCUCCUUGUGCAUCAUGUCGUGAAACAAAGUCACCAUAGCUCUUUGAUACGUUGCUCCCGCAUUCUUCAAUCCGAAGGGCAUUACCUUGUAACAGAACGUUCCCCAUAAGGUAAUGAAUGUGGUUUUCCUCAUGUCUCCGGGAUGCAUCUUUAUUUGAUUGUAUCCAGAGAAACCGUCCAUGAAAGAAAACAAUGAAUGGCCCGCCGUGUUAUCUACCAAAGUAUCAAUGUGAGGUAGUGGAAAGUUGUCCUUUGGACUAGCCUUGUUUAAAUCCCUAUAAUCCACACACAUUCGUACCUUUCCAUCUUUUUUGGGAACAGGGACGAUGUUGGCUACCCAAUCCGAAUACUUGACCUCUUGUAAGAAACCAGCGUCGAAUUGUCUUUUGACUUCCUCUCUUAUUUUCAACACAAUGUCAGGUCUCAUUCUCCUAAGCUUCUGUUGAACGGGUUUACAAUCCUUCUUUAUGGGCAGACGAUGUACCACAAUGUUAGUAUUUAGCCCAGGCAUAUCUUGGUACGACCACGCGAAAACAUCCUUGAACUCUCGGAGCAAAUUGAUGAGGUCUUGCCUUGUCUUUGCGGUAAUUUCAGUUCCAAUUUUCACCUCCUUUCCAUCCUCUAGGCUCACUAUUUCUAACGAUUCCCUAUGAGGUAGGAUAUGCUUAUCCUCUUGUUCCAUCAUUCUUAACAAGUCCGGAGAUGCAUCAUAAUCUUCGUCAUUUUCAAAGUCGUGGGAUCCCUCUGAACACACUUCUUGCUCAAAAAUAGGCUCCGCGUUUGAGACAGCAUCACUCAUGUCAUUGAUAUCUGAAGACCUAUGUGGGCAGAUCAAAUAAUAUACCAAGAAUAUAAAUUUAUGAAUAUGUUUGCAAAAGAAUCACAAAUGAAAGAAUUAUUUGUAAGACAAUCAACCAAAUGAAAAAUAUGAAAGGAAAAAAAAAAAGAAAAAAAAGUGACUGAUCGAGAUGAACGUAGACACGUAUUUUAUUAAAAUAAUGAUAUUUAGGCCCAAUGCCUAUUUCACAAAAAAUUUCGUAUCGUUUCUAGGCCAACAAACAACAGGAAUGUUUUGAGCAUUACUCUGAAUAAGCCCUAAAGACUACAGGGAUUUCUUCAGCAGUCCAAUUGUUUAGCUCGCUUCCAGGCUCAUAAGGGCGGAUCUCCAACAAAGCCCUCCUUUCCGUUGCUUCUAUGGUGUUAAUAUAAACGUUUUCCAACAUUCCUCCCAUGCCGCUACCGGAUACCCCACAUUCAGAAUGAAUAAAUCCUCCCGACACAAAAGAUGAAGAUAUGUGGGGAAAGGUUAAAGGCUCACACUUAGCUUCAUGUCCAUUCAAACGCGCCCUUCUUCUCGCUUGUCUCUUCUCUACUUCUUUCUUCUUCUGCUUCAUGUCUGGCUUGUACCCUAAACCAAAUCUAUCAAAUUUUUCCCUCGGCAUUGGUGCCUCAAUCCUCCCCUGAAGGUAUUUUCCCAAUCCUUUCCCGGGUAAGGCUCCUCUUCCUACCAUCAAUCGCAAUCCCAUCUCAGUGGUCCUGGACAUUUUCGGUACUGGAAUCCUAUUUCCCUCCGCAAUAAACAUCGCGUUCACAAAUUCUAACGACCGAAAAGAACAUUCCAGUGCCUCAUCGUUGAUGUCCACAUAAGGUGCCUCGCUAGUCAUCAUUGCGAUAAUAUCCUCCUCUGCAUCUAUUGUUACCAACCGAUCCUCCGAUACCAACUUCACCUUCUGAUGUAAUGAUGAAGGUACCGCCCCUGCUGAGUGUAUCCACGGUCUCCCCAAUAGACAGUUGUAGGAGGGUUUAAUAUCCAUUACCAAGAAAUCCACCUCAUAAGUGACUGGGCCAAUCCUUAAUGGUACUUCAAUUCUCCCCAUAACCUCCUUUUUUGUUCCAUCAAAUGCCCUUACUAUGCUCUGGCAUGCUUUCAUGUGCGAACUGUCUAUUGGUAAUCGACUAAGAGUGGACAAAGGCAAUACAUUUAGUGCAGAUCCAUUAUCGACCAAGGCCCCCGGGAGUGUGUACCCUUUGCAUCGGACAGUAACGUGGAGGGCUUUAGUAGAACCUCUUCCUCCGGAUGGUAUUUCAUCAUCAUUGAAGAAGAUAAAAUUGUCAGCACCAAUAUUGUUGAUCAACCGAUCCAACUUGUUUACUGAAAUAUCGUCAGCCACAUAUGUUUCGUUUAGCACCUUUAAGAGUGCAUUCCGAUGUACUUCUGAGUUUAAGAGUAAAGCUAAUACCGAAAUGCGGGCUGGCUGUUUGUGCAGUUGCUCCACAACACUGUAUUCGCUGUGUUUCAAAAACUUCAAAAACUCAUUCGCCUCUUCUUCUUUUAUUGGUUCAUUUACCAAUGGUUCAACUUCUACUGCCUUCCCUUUCCUCUGUUCUUUCUUCCAAUUCUCUUCCCUGGACGACUCUGCUUGAGCGUCAUAUCUUUUUCCCUUGCGCGUGUAAAAAACUGUUUCCUGAUUUCUUUCUGCUUCUUUUCCCAAAAUGGUCACAUUACACCCGUAAUUCCACGGCACCAUUUUGUUAUCUUUAUAAGAGAAAUUUGAUGGUUUCUGGAUUACAAUUUUCGGCGUUACCUGAGCCCUAACCUCAUUACCCUUAGGGCGGGAGAUAAUGACCACAGGAUGAUUUAUUUUUGGAGCCUUUGUUCCCAACUCUGUCGCGCAUAUGCUCCUCAUUUCUUUCACAUCUUCAUAAAACCUCAUCUCCUUGUUAUCCAUCAUGCUUUGAACCAAGGCCUUGAAUCCUUCACAUUCUUGGAUUUCAUGCCCUGUUUCAUGGUGAAAUUCACAAUAAUUUCCCAUCUCAUGCCCUUUCUCAGAAUCUGAAAUAAUCAAACCUCUUUUCGCCAUUUCUUUCCAGACCCAUUUCAAUGGAGUUUUUACUUCAGCAAUGUCAGUCUUGACUUCUUCUCCCGUACCUUCGCUAACCAUAUUCACCCCCUUAUCUGCGUGAUUAGGUAACGGAUUCUUUGCGUUAGGUGAGUCGUCAAGUUUGACAACACCUAAAUUGAUAAGUCCUUCUACUACCUUCUUGAAGGCAGUACAAUUUUCUAUCGAGUGCCCAGAAAUUCCCGCAUGAUAAUCACAUUGCGCGUUCGUAUCAUACCAUUUUGGAUACGGGGGUUGUAGAGGACUCAAGUAACGAGGAGCAACAACAUGUGCAUCGAAUAAAGUCUGAUACAACUCCUUGUAUGACAUCGGGAUUGGCGUGAAUUGGGGCUUUUCAGUAGUUUGCCUAGCUCCUGACUCUUGUCUUGAUGAUCCCUGUUGAUUAGCAACCACUUUCUUUGGUUGAUUCACGGUAAUUGACCUACCAUAAGCAUUCACAUUAUUCACUUCAUUUUCUCUUUUCCUCGGGGGUGCCCUCCUAUUAUUUUCUCCUCCAUCUAUUUUUCCACUUUUAAUGGCAUGCUCAAUCAUUUCACCAUUCAUGAUUAUAUCUGAGAAAUUUCUUGAAGCGCUUCCCAACAUGUGAGUGAUGAACGGGGCUUUCAAAGUAUUAAUAAAAAGCGUCGUCAUCUCUUUUUCCAAAAGCGGUGGUUGCACCUGAACCGCCACCUCUCGCCACCUCUGCGCAUAUUGUCUGAAGCUUUCGUUUGAUUUCUUCUCUAAAUUUUGCAGAGUUAUCCUGUCAGGCAUCAUUUCUGAGACAUGAUUGUAUUGUCUCAAGAAAGCCUGUGCUAAAUCCCUCCAAGUAGCAAUUUUAGCUCGGCUCAGCUGAUUGUACCACUUUGACGCCGCUCCCGUAAGACUUUCCUGAAAGCAAUGUAUUAAUAAUUGAUCAUUAUUAAUAUGCCCCGUCAUUCUUCUACAAAACAUAGUAAUAUGGGAUCCUGGGCAACUAGUCCCGUUGUAUUUCUCGAAUUCCGGCAUCUUAAAUUUGUAAGGGAGCACCAAGUCCGGAACCAAGCUCAGAUCCUUUGCAUCUGUUCCAUAGCUUUCGAUGCUUUCUAUUGCCCUAAACUUCUCUUCUAUCCAUUUCCAUUUCUCCUCAAAUUGUUUUGGAAAUUCCUCCUUCGCCUUGUCCUUUUCAACCAUCUCGUCAAGAUCUGGGACCGCAAUAUUAUUCGGGCUAUCACCGGGAUUAAAGCCCGCUCCGGGUUGAAAAUUCAUUGGGAUUGAAGCAUCGCCUUGGAACUGCUGGGGUCUAACCGACACAGAGGGUCUCCGCGAAUGCAGCUCAGUCUGUACAUGUGGAGGCGUGAAACCUGGAGGAUAGAGUGGUUCACCAUUGUUUUCUUCUUCACUAACAAUCACAGGCCCUUUACCCUUAUCUACUCCCUUCAAUAAUUGCGUCAUCUUAGCCACCAGAUCAUUUUGGGACUCCUCCAUCUUUUGUACCAUGUCACGCUGAAUCUUUUCUAUUUGCUCUUUCAUUUGCGCCUGCAACUGGUCUUGCAUUUCUCUUUGAAGUCGCUCUAGCUUCUCUAACCUUUGGUCCAUAAUUUUUGUCUUUGCUCGGGUGCCGUAACUUUGUUGGUUUUCCAGGUUAACUGAAAUGAUUUUAUUCGAUUAGGUUUUUUUAAUGGUCAUUAAUGCAUAUGAUGUGAUGCAAUGCAUGAAAGAGAAUGCAAAGAAAAAGAGGCACUGAUUUUAAUUCAACUUCAUUAGAAAACUUUACUAGAUAAAGAGUUUCUUUACAUAAAAUAGACUACAUAUAUGGCUUUGCCCUCACACUCAAAGCCUUAACCUUUCUAAGAAGCCAAGCUAAUUCUCGGCCCCUGUCCGACUCUGACUCAUACUUCAAACUUAAUAGAUCAGCCUGAACCGCUAGAGUUUGCAGAUGAUCAGCCACUUCGCGCACCUGAGUCACCGCCUCUCCCAUAAUAUAAUCUCUUUCUCCAAUCUGCUCUUGAGACCGACGGAAUUGUCCUUGCCACUGCUCAUUACUUUCUUCUAGAAGCUCUAUCCGGAUUUCACUAUUUUGCAAUGCAUUCUCUAGCCCUCCUAUCUGUGUUUUUAAUUCUUCAAUUUUGUCUAAGCUCGCCCUUAAUUCAACCGUAGUAUUACGAUUACAGUACUGGCGAAGCGAUCUUUCCAGUUCUGUUAUCCGGACCUUCAACUCCGUCUUCUCGUCUUGGCAAACUAGUAGACUCUUUUCCAAGGCGGCUUCUCGAGCCCGAGCAUCCUGAAAUUUCUUUUCCCAUUGAUUAGCUUUCGUCUUUUCCUCCUGAAUUUCUUGUCGCCAUUGUUCUGGUGUUUUACCCAAGCCAGCGGCUCUUACUGACUUACGCAACUUCUUGUAAUCUGUCUUCAGGCUGUCCAAAUCUUCUUCUGCCUUGUUCUUUCCUUUCCUCAAUUUGUUGGCCUCUAAUCUUUGAAUGUCCACAUCCAGUCCUAACUGCAUUUUUUCUUCCUCAAGUUGUUCUAUCUUCUUCCCCAAUUCUAAACUUCUUUUUUCGAAUUCUUGUUUGAUGAUUUCUAUCUCAGAAGGCAAGACUUGUAAGUGUUCCUCUAAAGAUCGAGCCGUUUCUGAAUUUGACGCCGGGAUGUUGUCGUUGAUCCUUUGAUUACGCCACUGACCAUACUCGGGGGUAAUUGUCGGACCCACAGCUAAGAUCUUCAUUCGACGAGUCUGGUUCCAGGCACUAGAUAUUUCUCGAACCUUCUUCUUGUAAUUGUCCUCCCUAUAGGAAAAAUCACUAUAAGCCAACCCCUGGGUUGCUGGUAUGAAUUGUCGUGAUCUAUACUGUCUUGACACGAGUAGAGGAGCAUAUCCAAUAGCUCCCCAUAUCCCGAGCAGCGGAACCCAGUCAAAAUCUCCACAUCGGUACAAUAUCUCAUCAGGAAUUAACCAAGGAGCCCUCCAUUCAAUAUCUUCAUCUUGGAGAUUCUGGAGUAUCUCUAUCCAUUUUUCUUCUAAAAUAUCAUCCCGUCUUGGCGUGGCCACCAAUUCUCCUAGAGGGGAGUAGCUAUCGGAGAAUACCCGGUAAGAGACCUUUUCGACUUUCCAGAAGUGGCUAUGGAACCAUGCCAAUAAGAGCUGCGCGCAUCCGAUAAACCUUCCCUCCCCUGCUUUUCGACACGCAUUCAAGGAUCUAAAAGUUUCCGCGAGUAUUGCCGGAACCGGUGUAACCCCUUUACCAAGCCGAUCGAACAAAUCAGAUACAGCCUCGUCUAUGUGUCCUAAAGCUUUGGGGAAAACCACUAGUCCAUAGAUACCUAAAGCGAAGACAUCGACCCUUUUCUUUAAGUCAGGAUGUACAAGCACCAAAUCUCGCAAACUUUUCCAAGGAACACAUUUACUGUCGCCCUUCUGUUGGAUCCGGGCAGCGACCCACUGCUCGCUCAUCCCAGUGAUGUUCAUUAAUUUCUUUAACAACGGAGGGACACAAGCAGCUCUGGAAUAAGCCUUGUCGACUUGAAUCUUUGGGCACCGAAGCAAGGUCGUAUACUCCUCCACAGUAGGCGUCAAAUCUACCUUCCCAAAAGUGAAACAACUGUAGGCAGGAUUCCAAAACUGAGCAAGGGCUCGGAAUAAAUACUUGUCCACUUUGACACUGAGCAGAUAAGGUAGGUCACCAUAGUUACAAUAGAACAGCUCCUUGGCCUCGACAUCCCAUUGAUCCCAGACUUCUUUCAUUUCUCGAAGGUCAUUCUGGAUUACACUGAUACGGGUAAAAUCCCACAAUUCUGACACGUACCCUUCGGUAAGACUAUCGCCUUUCUCCCGUUGCGUCGUUUCAGCCCAUAUUCGCACAGCCGCAUUAUCCUCUACUUUAUCAACAAACCCCUUUUCCAUGAUAAGCUUUCUACUAAGAAACUGAACGUAAAUCGACACCUCUUUUAGAAUGAAGAUGCCAUGCAAUCACAAACAAAGUAAAUUAGCAUUAAACACAGCAUAAGAUUUAAAAUAAACGACAAAUAAAUACAACAUUCAUUUAGGUAGGCACUAAAAUUUUAGAGUAGCUCUACCUAGGUCGGUUCCUAUGGCUCAUUACAUGUGGUUUGGUUCUAAAGUAGGGUACCUGAACCAGCAAAUUCCUCGAUCCUCACCCAUUAUAGGCUCAUACGGACCAAGUUCGAUUCAGGGGGAUACAUUUCCCUAUGGCCAUGCGGAGAUGAAAAUCUCACGAAGACAUAGGUACGGAUAUAUCCCGAAAGCGAUUCACUAUCCCAUGCGGAGGUGAAAACCUCACGAAGGCGUAGCUUCUCACUCCCACUUAAAGGUGUGACCAACGGUCAUGCAAUGCAAUGCGGAAAGAUACCAAAAUUUAAACAAUCAGAGCAAUUAUAAACCCCCAAUGAUGAUGAUUAUGAUAAAGACAGAUAAAAUGCGAUGAAAGGAUCGUAAUUUUAAAUCAAAUUUUCAAUUUUUGACAAAAGACGAAAAGUAAUCACUACGUGGCUUGACCCUCUUAUCGGUUCCCCAGUGGAGUCGCCAAGCUGUUGGUACCAUUUUUUUGGAUGAAAAUGGGGUCGACUUGGGUUUUGAAAAAAAGAAACGGGAAUGGGAGUCGCCACCAAUCCUUUUUUAUGAGGUGUGAUUGGAUUACCUCGAAAAAUGGUUAUUUUUAAUAAACGGUUUGAUUUUAUUAAAACAACAAGUUUGGUCCACGAAAUUCAGAAAAAACAAAAUGGGUUCGGGAGUCGGUUACGCACGAGGAAGGAUUAGCACCCUCGAUACGCCCAAAAUUGGUACCUAGUUGAUUACUUAAUGUCUUAAUGUCAAAAAUUGAGAACCUUGAAGAAUUUUAAAAAUACGAUCCUUAUAUUAAAACGUUGAAAAUUUUCAGAGAAAAAAAAAGGGGCAUAUUUCACGUUAUUCGAGAAGGAGAAUCAUAUCCAGUAAGUUAGGACACAAUGUCUCAAAUUCCCGAUACGCGGAUGAAAAAUGCUUAUUUAAAAGAUAUUUUAUUAUCUUGGUUUUAGAAAUAAAUCAGGCCCAGUAAGUUAGGGCACGAUCUUUUCUUAAUUCCCGAGAUCGUUUAAAAACUUGAGUUUGAAAAGAUUCGUGUAUUUAGAUUUAUUAUGAAAAUCGAAACCCAGUAAGUUAGAGUACGAUCCUUUCGAAUCUAAACACGAAAUAUUUUUUAAAACAAAUUUUGUUAUACCGAGUAAAAUAAAACAUGAAAAUCGUAGUAAAAUGUGAAAACAAAUUACAUUGUUGUUAUACGUGGUAAAAUCAUAAUACACAUAAAAAAUAAAAAAUAAUACGAGCAAUAGCAACGAUAUAAAAUAAAUAAAAGUCAUACGUACAAUCAUAUAAAAUAACAAUAUAUAUAAACAAAUAAAUUAAAACAUUCAUUCAAAAUAAUAACGAAAAUGAAAUAAAUAAGUAACAAAUACAAUUAAAUAUAAAAAGAUAUAUAUAGACAUAAACUAAAAUAUGUAUAUAUAUAUAAAUUAGCAAAAUGUAUAAAGUAUAUUUUAAUAUAUAAAAGAAACGAUAAUAUGUAUAUAUAAAAAUAUGUACAUAUAUAUGGGUGUAUAAAACUAUGGAAUAUGAAAAUAAUAAAAUACAUAUAAAGUAAGUACAUAUAUGUUGAAAAUAAAAGAAAGAAUGUAUGUACAAAUUAAAGUUUAAAAUAAUGAAAAUAUACGUAUGUAUACGAAUAAAUACGUUAAUUUUGAUACAUGUUAAAAAAGUAUAUUGAAAAUGUAUAUAUAUAUUUAUGUAAAUUAAGAUAUACAAAAAUAUGUAUGUACGUACAUAUAAAAAUAUAUAUACUUAUAAAAUAAAAGGAUAUGUACGUAUAUAAAUUAAUAGUAACAUGUGUGUAUAUAUGGAUUUAUAAAAAAGGAGUAUAUUUUAAACUAUAAAGAUUAUAUAUAAAUAUGUAUAUAUUUAGGAAAAUGAAAAUAUAUAUAUAAAUGUAUAGAUAUGUACAUAAGUUGUAAAAUAUAUAAACUAUAUAAGUAUAUAUGUUAUAAAAACAAUGUAUGUAUAUCACAAAAAUAUAUGCAUGUAUAUGUAUAUAUGUGCCGAAAAUUUAAAUAAAAUAAACAUAAACAAAUAGGUAAUAAUAAUAAUAAUAAUAAUAAUAGGACUAAAUCAAAACGGAAACGAAAUCUCAGGGCUGAAAUCAAAAAUGAAAUAGAGUAAAGGAUUAAAAUGUGAGGCGCGCGAAAAGGGAAGGACUGAAAAGGGAAAUAUUCCCUCCUAGAGUGCCACGUUUCAGCGCAAAGGACCAUACAUGGUCAAAGGACCUGAUUGAAACAUAAACAAAACUCGCGGCCCAAAUCAAAAAAAAUAAAAGGUUUGAUUGCAUUUCGACGCAAGAUGGAGGGACUAAAUACAUAAAUUACCCAUUAGGGCAAAGCAUGCACAAAUCCCCCCAUCACCUGGCGCCGUUUCUUCUAACAUAAAUACCCAAUAAAGAAAAAAUGUUGCUUCAUUUUUCUAAAGAAAAACAGAGGGCUCAGCCCCUCUCUCUCACAGGCUCCAAGUCCCGCCGAUAGGGCCGUCGCCGGCGCCGCCGUGACCCUCGCCGUCAUCAGUGACCGGGGCAACGCAAAGGUCACCCCUUUGGUCCGUUUUUGAAACACUUGAAGGCCUAAACUCCUAGACUUCAAGGCCGAAAGGAGAAAAACCACGUGCCCCCUUUUCACGUCCUGAUUUCGAUGACCGAAAUGGCCGGCGAAGGGCUCUCCGGCGAUCCCAGGUAUUCUCCUUCCUCUCUUUUUUUAAAUAAUUUUCUUAAGAAAACGAUUUCGAAAAAAAAAAGAAAAGAAAUCGACAAAGAAAAAAAACGAAGAACAAAAACAGCAACCCUUUUUAUUGAUUUCUGAUUUUUUUUGUCUCCGAAAAUUCCCCCAUCGUCGGCCAAAUGGGCCACCGUCGACCCCGCCGUGAGUGGUGGUCAGAAGCCCGAACGUCGGGUUUUUAAACCCUGCUUCAAGAACCAACUGAAGACUAAGUCUUCAUGGCCUCGGGGUCGCGAGAGAAAAAUCAAAUCGCUGCCUUCCCCGCCCAAUUUCGGUGACCCGAAGUCGGACUCCGGCGACGACACUUGCGAGGCGAUUUAGGUAAGGUUCUUUCUCCUUUUUUAUUUCGUUUUUGUUAAGAUAGAUUCAUUAUAUAAAAGAAAAAACAAGCAAAUAUAAAACAAACAAAAGAGAAUAGGAAGUCUGAAUCCACCUUUAAAUGUUUUCUCUGCCUUUUUUCAUUAGCUGUUGUGUUGUGAAAAUGUUACAAAAGGAAAGACCCGAUUAUAGUGAUCAAGCUUUCCCCCCCUCUUUUCAUUGGUUUGAAUAGCUUUAUAUAGCCCUAAUAUAUUUUUUAUUAUUUGUUGUCUUUUCUUCUUGUAGAUGGCAGUGCAAGUGGAGGGCAGGUGCGGCGGCAACAGGUGGAGCAGGUGGUGGCAAAGUUGGUGGUGACAGAGGGUUAGGGGUUAGGUUUUUUUUUCUGAAAGUGUUUGGGUUAUUGGGCUAGUAGUUGGGCUUUGGGUCUGUUUUGGGUCUUGGGUUUGGGCUGGUUCAAAUUGGGCUUGUACAGGUUUCUUUGUUUAUAGAGAAAUUCCAUGAUAUUCAAAAUAUAGAGAGUUAAAAGGCGGUUAUUUUACUAAAUUGACAAAAAAAUUAAAUAUUUAUAAGAAUAAUUUAGAUUCAAAAAUAUUAACGAAAAUAACCUAGAAGGAACAAUGUACAGUGCUGUCGGCAACUCUAUGACUGGCACCCAUGUCAGAAAUGAUUAAAAAAUAUAUUUUUGGUGCCGGUAAUACAGUAGUCGACAUCCAUGUAUAUUUUUUUUACCCGUAUUUUGUACAAUACAUUUUAUACUUAAUUUUAAAAAUUAAUAAUUUUUUUGAGUGCCAUAUAGUGGGUGGCCAGCACCCAUUUUCAAACCUUUUUAAUUUUUUGGUGCCAGUACUGAGGUAGCCAACACCCAUUUUCAAUGACAAAUAUUAUUUUUCUUGAUCUCGUGAACCCAUCGGUCGGCAUCAGUACAUAUUGGAAUUUCGUGAUCAAAAAACAAAAAGAAAAAAAUAUGUAAACUCAUCUUUUGCAAAUGAUUCUCUUCGCUAUUUCUUCCCAAACCCCUCCUUUUCAUCAUCUCUUGUUUCAGAAAACUAAAAAGAAAAAAAAAGACUUAUGAUAUAAUUUAUCUGUUUCAGAAAAUGAAAAGCCAAAAACAUUUUAGAAAAUGAAAAAAAAAUUGAGAAGAAUGGAGGAAGAGAAAAAAAAAAUUUGAGAUAUGGAAAAUGAAAAUGAAUGGAACAGUUGGGUUUUCAAUGAGGGAUACAACUCAUUUCUUUUUGUUUUAGUUUUAUUUAUUUAUUUAUUUACUUGUUUGUUGGUUUUCAAUGUUCUGUUGGCUUUUCAUUUUCAGAAACAGUUAAACUAUCGAAAGUUUUUUUUUUUUUAAUUUUUUGAAACAGGAGAUGAUGAAAAGGAAUGAAAGAGUUUGGGAAGAAAUAGUGAGAGAGAACUAGUUGCAAUAGAUGAGUUUGCAUAUUUUUUUCUUUUGGUUUUUUUAUCAUGGAAUACCCAUAUGUAUUGUUGUUGGCCACCUGCUACAAGACACCAAAAAAAUUGUUUUUUUAAAGCCAUGUGUAAAAUGUAUUGUACAAAAUAUAAGCAAAAAAUACACAUGGGUGCCAGUCAUUACAUUACCGACACCAAAAAAAAAACUUAAUCCUUUCUGACAUGAGUGCCAGCCAUGGGGUUGUCGGCACCAUCGUGCAUUGUUCCUUCCAGGUUAUUUUUAUUAAUGUUUUUGAAUCUGGGUUAUUCUUAUAAAUAUUUAAUCUUUUUAGGUCAUUUUAGUAAAAUAGUGUAACACCUCUUACCCGAGACCGUUGCCGGAAUCGAGUACGAGGCAUUACUUAGCUUAUCUUACUAAUUCGGGGCAUAAAAAUUCGUUUUAAAAAUUAAUUUCACUGUUUACAGUAAUCUGUCCAAUCGCGCAGCAGUUACUAAAUUGAUUAUAACUCGAGCUACGGAACUCCAAAUUUAAUUUCGUAAUUUUUUCCUGAAACUAGACUCAUAUAUCUUUCUACCAUAAAAUUUUCAGAAUUCUUGGUUUGACCAAUUAAUACAGUUUAUUAGUUAAAUUCUCCCCUGUUUCUUCACUCGACUGUCCUGACCCCUUGGUACUAAAAAUAAAUUUUCUCAUUAUAGGAUUUUCAUAUGAUAUUACCACUUUUCAAUCAAUACACAAUUCACAUAUUCACAUAUCUCAAUUUAAUAUCUCAUUUAUUCAAUUCAUAUUUUAAUUCAUCCAAUUAAAUAUUGAUAUUCUCCUUAUUUUUAUUUACUAACAUAUUAUUCAAAAUUCAAUAAUUACUGUCAAUAAAUUCAAUAUCAAUACGUAUAUAUAUUAUUCAAUUCAAUUAUGAAACUCACCUCAAUUUGCUUAUCGUGUAUAUUAAUUUAAUUUUCAACGAUUAAUAAUUAAAUUCGAAUUAUAGUAAUACUAACCGCAAUUUCUCUCGAGUCACUCCUUGUCCACUUUCUCCUUUCCUUUCUCGGACAAUGACUCGUACACGACAUUAGCUACGUAAUUAAACAAUUAAAAAUCAUUAAUACACAAUUUCAUUAAAAUAUUUCCUUUUAUACCUAAACUUUACCCAAAUUCUAAUUUAAUCCCUUACCAAUACUAAUUUUAUUUUUCCCAAUCUAACUCUACAUUCUCUCUUAAUUCUUACUAUAAAGUCAAUUUAAUUCCUCAAUUUCACCAUAAAUCCCUAAUUUCGGGAUUCUUUCAAUUUAAUCCCUAUCGAUUCAAAACUUAUAUUUUAUUUUACAAUCACAUUCUUUACUAACUUCUAACUUGAAAUUAAAUCAAUUUAACCCCUAACUAAACCUAUAUAUUUUUCUUUCUCAAUUCAUACCCUUAUUCUACCCAAUUUCUUACUAAACUCAUAUUUAACUAUUUAAUUUUUAUCAUGUUUUCAUAAUUCCGAAUUUAUUUCAAAUUAAUCCCUAAAAUUCAAAACUUAUAGUUUAGUUUACAAUUCAAUCCUUUAUUCAAUUCCAAUCAAAAUUUCUAUCAAAUACAUCCCUAAUUUAACAAUUUAUUCAACAUGAACCAUGCUUAAUAAUCUACUAACUUCCAAAAUUUCAACUUAAAUCAAGUAGUAUUUUGUUCUAGGAUUUCAAAAAAAAUAUCAAAAUUAAGAGAAAAGGGGAUUAAAUUGACUUACCAAAUUACUUUGAACCUUAAAACCCCAAAUUUCUCUUUUUCUUUUCUUUUCUUUCUUUCUUUCCUUCCUUCCUUCUCUGUUUCGUUUUGCUCUCUGUUUCUUUCUUUCUCCCUUCUCUGUUUUGUUUUGCUCUCUGUUUCUUUUCUUUCUUUCUUUGUCAUAUAUAUAUAUAAUAUAAUAUAAUAUAAUAUAAUAUAAUAUAAUAUAAUAUAAUAUAAUAUAAUAUAAUAUAUUAAUAAUAAUAUAAUAUAUUAAUAAUAAUAUAAUAUAAAAACAUAAUUAUUACUUACGCAUGUAUAAUAUAAUAUAUAUAUUUAAAAUUAAAAAUAUCUUAGAUUUUUCUUUUGUUAUGCCGCCUCAACUUUAGAAAAAGGCAUAAUUGCCUAUUUGGUCCUUUAACUUUUCUUUAAUCUAUAAUUAAACUUUUAUCCUUACUUCAAUUUAGUCCUUUUUCAUAAUUAACUAUCAAAGCGUUAAAAUUUCUUAACAAAACUUUAAUAUUAUCCUGUUGACACUCCGUAAAUAUUUUUAUAAAUAUUUACGACUCAGUUUAUAAUAUCGAGGUCUCGAUACCUCGUUUUCGACCCAAUUUACCUAAUAAUUUCUUUUAAAUCACAAAAUUCACUGAUUUAAAAAUAUUUCUAAAAUCACACUUAACUUAUAAUUAUUAAUUAAUAAAUUUUUCUAACUUUUUCAUCAAUUUUAGUGAUCUCAAAUCACUAUUCUGACACUACUAAAAAUUAGGUUGUUACAAAUAGCCACCAAAGGUGAAACCUGGAGAAGGAAGCUUGUGAAAAGAUUUAGAGAAAGGAAAAUAGUAAGGUAAAAAGGAGAAAAAUAAAAACCAGAGAUGCGAAUCCAGUUUUGAACUUGUUUAAACAACAAGAAUAUGAAAAAUAUAUAUUUAUAUAGAAACUUGAACUUUUUUUUAGUUUUUAAUUUUUUUUAAUUUUUUUAUAAUUUCCAACUUUUUAGUUUUAAACUCAUCUAGAAUAAUUCUAAUCAAAUGGUUAGCAAGAUUCAAAUGAACAUAGACAAUCAUUUGUCCAGGUUCAUUUUAGAUAUAAUUUUUAUUAAUUAUUUCAACAUCGUUCCACGUGGUCAACUUCUAGUAGCUGUCGUCUACCAUGCCAACACCUAUAAUAGUCAAACCGGUCAACUAAUUGUUUUUGUUAAUAGAAGGACCUAGUUGAUUAUGUUUUGGUCAUUAAUGACUCAAUAGGACACUUUUUUUAAAGGGCUCAAAUGAUAUUUUUUUUUCCAUUUUUUACUAAGGGCUUCUUUGACCCUUAAGCCAAAUCAAUUUAAUUAAUAUUUUGAGAAAUAGAAAAUAAUAAUUGAGUUAGAUAAAUUAUAAGUGUUGGAUAAAAAUCCGGAUAACGUAUAUAAUUGUAAAUAAUAUACAAGAGGCCCAAUAAACAUUGUUUUAUGAAAGGGGCGAAAAACUCUAGAAUUUUCUAGAAUGUGUUGCAGCCCCUUGUGUUCCACUUCUAGUAGAAGAUUGUAUUUUCUAUUAAGCUAUUAUUAUUUAAUUACAUUUUAUUUAAACAAAACUCUUGUAUUGUUUCUCUAUAAAUAAAAACUAUAAAUUAACCUAAUUAGUAUUUUUUGAGAGCUCAUAGUUUUCGGUUCUUAUAGAGAGAAUUAACAAGCCUACUGAAAGUUAAGAAAAAAAAAUUCACUAUGUGCAUUGGUUCGUGCAAAUCUGGGUUUAAGGAUAAUAGAGAAGGUUGUCGAUAGAAAGUUGAGAAACAACGUUGAUCUCAUCGCACAAAACACAAGUACUAAUUUAAUUAAGAAUUUAUUAUUAUAAAUAUUAUAAUGCCCAAUUUUAAAAAACUUAAGCUCUCCUUAUACCUAAAAAUAUUCUUUUUUAAACUAAUUUUUUCAAAAAUCCUAACAUUGACAAAGAUAUUGUGUGUACUUGCAGAGGACCCUUGGCUUAAGUAGAUUGUUAGACUCAACAUUUAUUGUUCUAGGAAUGUGAUCUAUCUCCCAACAACAAAUAGAUUUAAAAAUAUGAUAAUGUGGAGCAUUAUCAAGUGAAUGAUCUUAAUGUGUGAAAAUUGGCUUUUAAUGGGCCCAUAACAAAAAAAAGUUAGAGAUAGUGACUAUUGAUUAUCAAGCUUACGAGAAUCAUCGGAUCCCUAUUAAAUUGACGGAUUGUAAUAAAUUAUGCCUAAUUUUUCUUUAUUUUUUUGGAUUAUAAAUUUCCUAACCAAACUUUGUCGGUUACUAUUGGUAAAAAGAGCUCGCAGGAAAAUGAUAAAAAAUUGAAGAUCAAAACGUAGAGAGAGAGGUGUGGGGGAAAGGCAAAGUUAGAAGAUACAUUGUGCUUGAGAUAAAGAGGAUUUCAGUGUUUCUAGAUCAAUUAUGUAAAGACAGAUACAUUGUGCUUUAAGAAAAAUGGACACAAAUGGAUUUCACUUGUGCUAUUGUUAACAUCUAUGCCCAGUAUGUUAAUGAUGAGCAAGUGUUGUUGUGGGAAGAUAUUCUGGAUAUUAGAAAUAACAUCUCUUGACCUUGAUGUUAUUGGGAAAUAUACCUAUAUUGUAUUAAAUAUAUAAUUAUUUUUUUAUGUAUUUGAACGAUGAAUAAAUAGAUAAAAUUAAUUUUACAUUUCACUAAUAUAUAUAUUUUGUGUUUGUAUUUCAUUUUCUAUAUACAUAGCGAAGUUGUGAUAAGCAAAUAUUAUCCCAUUGAUUGUCUAAGUUCAAAUUGAUGAUAAGUGGCACUGUAAGAAUGUUUACAUUACGAGAAAGACAACUUACUUCAGUAGAUAAUUUAAACGAAUCCAUAAUCCCGUAAAAGAAUCAAAGUGAGCAUUUGAUUCAAAUACUUAGAAGGAUUAUUAUGUUGUCUCCAAUUCCAAUUAAGGAGAUGGUUAGUCUUGGCUAUCAGAACAGUUGGGUCUACGGGUAGAGAAAUACAUGUACUCAUUGAAAGAAUGAUACAUUGGACUGGACCCAAGUUGAAUUAAUUCUGAAUCCAUUUGUGAAUUGAUUCACUUGUGGCGUUCAUGGUGUGACUUACCUAAAUCCUGGAUUAGUCACUGACCAUGCGUAUGUGACUCAUGUGCUUUGAUAUAAGUGGAGGUUUAUACUCUAAAGAUGAUUGAGCCGAUAGCCGGUAUGUUGGUUACAUGACUUUACUAGUAACAAUGAAAUUCAUAACUCGAUUAAAGAGUUAACGAUAUCUUCUCAUUUGCAUUGUUUGGAUUAAUAAAUAUGAAACAUGGUCACGGGUUGCUUGUUCUCAAAUGAGCAAUUUAUCAUGAUCGUUAGUUGACAGUGAUCAUAUUAAUCAUUAAGAAGACACAAUGGUAACAAUGGAAUAAAAUAGGAUUAUAUUGAGUGAACGAAUUUAACUCAAAUGAAUCAAUAAUAUCAUAUGAAAGUAACACACAUAUGACGAGGUCAUUGGAUAAAACAAUUGGAUGAAUUAGUUUUGUAAAGUGUAAACAAUAAGGAGUUUUCAAUCAUGGUACUUUUUGUGGACUGACUCAAUAAUUAAGUAAAUUACAAAUUAUCAGAAUGAUUCCUUUAGAUAUAAAUGCAAUUACUCGAGUCUAAUUGUAUAUGUCUGUUUGGUCUCUCCACUAGCUCAAUAAAAGCUCGACCGGAUUGCAUUUGAAUUAAAAAAAUUUCUACAACUUCGAAAAUAAUUUAAUUGAGUCAAUUUAUUCGAUGAUAAAUUAAAUUAGACAGUCGUGAGAAUUUGUUCAACUAAAGAAUUUAAUUAAAGAUUUUUUUCAAAAAUUAAUUUAGAAAAUAUCAGUGCUUUUUGAGAAAAUUAUUUUUUUAUCAAGUAAGAUUAGAUUAAUUAAAAUAAAUAUGAUAUUUUUUAAAAUUAAUUUUUAAGUCAGACAAUUAGCCCAAUGGGUAAUUAAACUUAAAAAUUAGACCUAAGAUUAAAAAAUUGAACCCAAGACCGAAACCCAAAAAUUGGAUGAACCGAGCUGUGUAUGAAACUGGGCUAACGAUCCAAUCGGUGGCUGGACUGGAUCGACCAGGCCGUCAUUGGUCCAGACCGAAUCUACUGUCACACCAACCAGACAUGCGAAUGUCUAACCCAUGGUGCCCCAACCAUGAUAGCAAGCUAUUCAAACAACUUGCUAGGGGUCUUGGCCAACCCCAUUGUUAGCAUCGGACUAGGUGUGCAAACGCCUAGCCGAGGGAUGUUGCACCCUGUGCGACUGGUCAUGCGAACGAUCGACCUGAGAAGACACCUAUCAAUUGGGAAAAAUGGGAGGUUGGGCGUAGAGCUAGCUGUUCAAAGGGCUAGCUCCACCCUAGCCAUGACACAGACGGCCUCGUAAGGAGGCACCGAGCCGACCAGACCCAUUCGAGAAAAACAAUGAUGGUUCGGGGUGCUAGGGGGAAGUUGCGUCGACAAUGACACCAUCAGGCACGACGGUUGUGAUGACAACGAUCCGACGACCGAUAGAUGGUCGAUGAUAAUGAUUCUUUGACGACAUAUAGUAUUUUAUUAAUUUAAUAUUAAUGUGAGAUAUUAAAUUUGAUUUAAUAUUUGUGAUAAUAUUUCUUAAUUUAAUAUUAAUAUAACUAAUUUCAAUCCUAAUUUAUCUGUAUCUAAACUCUCAGUAUAAGAAGAGUGAACCAUUAUUUUGAUUAAGAGCGAGCCACAAAAUACAAAUUUUGAUUAGUUAUUUAUUAGCAAAAAAGAAUUGCUGCAGGUAACCUAAAAACUAUUAAUUAAUUAUAUACAAAGUCUCGUAAGCUUCUCUUCCUUAUCUAGGGUUUCACAAAAAAUUCAGAAGUAUGAUAUCGUAAAUCUUUUUUUUAGACUUUAGAUCCUCCAUCGAGUUGCUGCAAUGGCCAGAGGAAGAGGUGAGGAAGAUGAUGACAUUGAAGACGAAGAGUACGAAGAUGACGACCAAUUGUUGGUCGAUGAGGAUUACGACGAGGACGAAGACGUAGGGAGAGGCCGUGGCAGUUCAAGUAAGAAGCGGCGGAGAUCUGAUUUCAUCGAUGACGUGGCAGAGGAGGACGAUGAGGAAGACGAAGAUGAUGACGAUGACGAUGAGCUUUAUGGCGGUGGUGGGAAAAAGCAUAGCAAGGCUCCUCGUGUUGGCGCUCAGUUUUUUGAUCUUGAAGCUCAAGUCGAUAGCGAUGAGGAAGAGGAAGAGGAUGAGGGAGAGGACGGUAAUUUCAUGUGCUUAAUUUUGUUCUUGAAAUUGGUAAUGAAGUGGGAAAAUUGAUGAUUAAUGUGCUCUAAUUGAUCAUAUAUUGAGAUAAAUUAAAUUAAGUUAUUUUUUAGAAAUUAUUUUCAAAUUCAAAACUUAAAUUUAGUUCAACUUCAAUAUAGUUCAACUUAAAUUCAAAACUCUUUAGGUGGUUGUAUGUCAUUCUGAUAUCUAAGCAAUUAUCAGAAUGUUGUUUUCAACAUUGUUAUGGUAGUGUAAUUUAACAUCAGGAAUGACUUUGGUAGUUUUCCAACCUUUUCCUUCUGAACGUGUCUGUCGAAAAGUCUCAUUCAUUACAAUGAACUCUUAAUGUGACUAUUAUUGGCUAGGCAAGGCCGAAAUAAUGCUACAUUGCAUACUUGGCAUUUGAUGCUUGCAGAUUCAAGGAAUUCCUCCUUUUUGAACAUAAUCACUCAAUUUGAAAAUUUGCUACUUCGAUAAUUGUUAAAAUCUCAGCGAGCUCAUUGUUUUCUAAUUGUUUUUUUAUUCUAAACUUUUAUGUGAUGAAUCCCUCUUUCAUUACAUUGAAUCACAAUCAUUUGUAGGAACUGAAGAAGAGUUCAUUUCUGCAUAGUUCUUGAUUCACUUUUUACUGUUCUGUUGCAUUUGGACCUGUAUUGGGAUGGUUUGUAUUCAAUGUUUUGCAAGUUCUAAGAAUACUUCCUUGUUUUGAAAUUUAAAUUAUUCAAUUGCAAUUUCAAGGUUUUGUUUUUUCUUUUACUCCUCCCCUGGUUAUUGAGUUCUAAUUUAGUCAUUUUUUUAUGCUUCUUAGUUUUUAGCAUAUUAUUCUUGAGAAUCUUUCUAUUCCACCUAUAAUCAAUUCGUUAUAGCUCCUGCAGUAGCAGUAACUCGGAUAGAAAUGAUGUGUAGAAGCAUUCAUGUGAAUAGCAUGGCUGGUAUCAUUUGUUCACAUUUUCAAUGUUUUGCCCCAAACAAUAUUGCUUUCAAUUAUCGUACAUGUUGCUCUGAUUGAAAAAGAUAAAUGCAGUUCAGAUUGACUGAUGAGGCAUGCAUAAUCAGCACAAUGAUUUGAUUUGGUAAACCCUUAUGGAAUUGUCAUAGAAAGCUAUUUCACUGAUAAGAGUGUAAUGAAUAAGUGGCAUAUCUUAGUAUGGUGAUUUCUGUUGAACCUUCUAUUUGUGCCUGGUUUUUCAUCCUUGAUUUUCUUAAUGUUGCUGAUAUAUUGAUGUCUGGAAAUUCAGAUUUCAUAGUUGAGACUGGAGCUGAUCUACCUGAUGAAGACGUUGGUAGAAGGAUGCACCGUCGCCCAUUACCACUCCGGGAGGAUGAACAAGAAGAUGUUGAAGCUCUUGAGAGAAGCAUUCAGGCUAGGUAUGCAAGAUCAAGUCACACAGAAUAUGAUGAGGAGACAACUGAUGUGGAGCAGCAAGCACUUUUGCCUUCAGUAAGAGAUCCAAAGCUGUGGAUGGUGAAAUGUGCGGUAUGAUGAUGAUUUCCUGUGCAGUUUAAGUUUUGAAAACUUGUUAUUGGGCAGAAAUGGUUAGUACAUUAGCUGCGGAGUUCAACUAAGAUCAUGUUCAUGCAUGCUAGAUUGGUCGUGAACGAGAAACUGCAGUUUGCCUCAUGCAGAAAUGCAUUGAUAAAGGAUCUGAACUACAAAUCAGGUCUGUUAUUGCCCUUGAUCACCUUAAAAAUUAUAUUUAUAUUGAAGCAGACAAGGAAGCCCAUGUGAGAGAGGUGUGCGAUCUUUUAUUCUUUUGCUUUAAUUUUUGGAUGGAUAUUGUAGCCUUAGAUGUCUACAUAUAUUUCUGUUGACCAAUUUUGAUCAGCUUCAGGCUGUGAAAGGUCUGCGUACCAUAUUUGCAGCAAAGAUUAUGCUUGUUCCAAUAAGAGAAAUGACUGAUGUUUUAUCAGUGGAAAGCAAAGCGGCUGAUCUUUCUAGAGAUACCUGGGUCAGAAUGAAGAUUGGGACAUACAAGGGUGAUCUUGCUCAAGUAUGCCUUUUGUCUUUUUCUACUUUCAUGAAUAUUCCCUUUUGAAAAAUCUUAGUCUGACUGUGUAAUUUCUAUUUCAUAGGUGGUUGAUGUGGAUAAUGUGCGGCAGAGAGUCACUGUGAAAUUGAUUCCUAGGAUUGACUUACAGGCUCUUGCUAAUAAAUUGGUAUGGAAUUGAUUGCAUUUGUUUUAGGUGUUUAUCUCAUGGAUUGUGCAUGUUGAAAGCCUUACAAUAAGAUAGUGUUUUAAUUUUCCAAUGCAGGUAUAGUUUGUUAGUUGUCUAUAUAUGAUUGUAUUUUAACUGAUUUACAUGAACUAUUUGGCUUUCUUUCCUGGUUCCAUCAUCUUUGAUCUGGUCUUAUACUGUUUCAUACAGGAAGGAAGAGAAGUUGCAAAGAAGAAAGCUUUCGUCCCUCCUCCUCGUUUUAUGAAUGUUGAUGAAGCUAGGUAGGUUAAAUGGUUCCAACCUCUAGUGAAAAAUCUACCACAUUUAUUUGUUUCAGAAAACUUAAGCUCACAUGUCUUGAUAUUUGUGCUUUUUUUAGGGAACUUCAUAUUUGUGUAGAGCGCAGACGAAAUUCGAUCACUGGUGAUUACUUUGAGAAUAUUGGGGGCAUGUUGUUUAAAGAUGGGUUCUUGUACAAAACGGUGUCGAUGAAGUCAAUUAGUGCUCAUAACAUAAAACCAACGUUUGAUGAACUCGAAAAGUUUCAGACACCUGGCAAUAAUGGAGAAGGUGAAAUGGUUGGUUUAUCAACUUUGUUUGCAAACAGAAAGAAAAACCAUUUCUUGAAGGGUGAUGCAGUUAUUGUUGUCAAGGGAGAUCUGAAAAUUUUAAAGGGAUGGGUUGAAAAGGUUGAGGAAGAGAAUGUCCAUAUUAGACCGGAAAUGAAACUGUAAGAAUUCAGUCAAUAUUGGUAUUCUUUGAGUUAAGUCUUUGAUCACUAGUGUGCAUGUAAGAUAUCUUAUUGCUAGGUCAUACUUGGCCUUCAAUGAUGUUUUUCAGAAAACUCUUGCUGUUAACGAAAAAGAGUUGUGUAAGUACUUUGAGCCUGGGAAUCACGUGAAGGUUGUUUCUGGGACGAAGGAAGGUGCAACCGGUAUGGUUGUCAAGGUUGAGCAGCAUGUUCUCAUCAUUUUAUCUGAUACAACCAAAGAACAUGUAAGUAAUACAUCUUUUGAAGUCUGGUCCAGACCUAAAGAAUAUCUUUGUGGAAAAAUAAUUGGCAUUUCUUAUAUUAGAUCCAUGUUUUUGCUGAUGAUGUCGUUGAGAGCUCUGAAGUAACUACUGGUGUUACAAAAAUUGGGGACUUUGAGCUUCAUGACCUUGUGCUACUAGAGUAAGUAGUUUUUCGCUGAAGGAUUUGGACUUGUCUUUAGUUAAUUUGGGGUCUUAAGGUAUUAAUUAUGUUUCAGUAACAAUAGCUUUGGAGUAAUUAUACGUGUAGAAAGUGAAGCAUUUCAGGUGAGUGACCUCUCUUAAGUGACCGGAUUUUCACUGCUACUCUUUUGACUGUUCUCAUGGUCGUUUACUUUCUUUUAGGUUCUUAAGGGUGUUCCAGAGCGGCCAGAGGUUUCUCUUGUCAAAUUGAGGGAAAUCAAAUGCAAGCUUGACAAAAAAUUUAAUGUGCAAGACAAAUAUAGGAAUCCUAUUUCUGUGAAAGAUGUGGUUAGGAUACUUGAGGGUCAUUGUAAAGUAAGAUUCUCGUUUUUCAUUUUGGUUUGUCCUAGUAUUCACUUUAUGAAUUUUUAGUUUACUAACCAUCCACUUCUAUAAAUUUAGGGGAAACAAGGCCCUGUAGAGCACAUAUACAAAGGAGUUUUGUUCGUGUAUGAUCGACAUCACCUUGAGCAUGCUGGGUUUAUAUGUGUUAAAGCUGAUUCUUGUUGUAUAGUGGGAGGAUCACGUUCCAAUGGGAACAGAAAUGUUAGUCUUUUCUUUUCAUUUUUUCGCUGGUUAAUUCAUGUGUAAUUAACACCAUUUAAUUGAGGUAGUGAACUUGAUUCAAUCUUUUAGGGUGAUUCUUUCUCAAGAUUUGGUAGCUUCAAGACUCCACCACGUGUACCACCAUCACCAAGGAGAUUUGCUAGGGGAGGUCCUCCAUUUGAUUGUAUGUUGGUUUUGUCAUUCUUGUUUGUACAAACAUGGUUUUUGGAUUUGUCUGAAUUUUCAUUUUCUCUAGUUAAGUGAUUAAGUUUCAGUAUAAGCUUGAUGCUAUUAGUUUCUGCCUAUUCAAAACAGCCAGCGGGAGACACAGAGGUGGAAGAGGAGGGCAUGAUGCUUUGAUUGGUACUACUGUGAAAAUUCGACAGGGUCCUUUUAAGGGUUACCGUGGACGUGUUGUAGAUAUUAAAGGUCAAUCAGUUAGAGUUGAGUUGGAGUCUCAAAUGAAGGUUGUUACAGGCAAGUUCAGGUUAAUGUUCGAAAUGUUUUCUCCUUUUCUCUAGCAUCUUUAUGACUUAUAGAACUUGUUCAUGUCUGCAGUUGAUCGCAAUUUUAUAUCUGAUAAUGUGGUUAUUUCAACACCCACUCGGUAAAUAUGAUUUCCUUGGCAUCCAUUUUGUUGUUUCUUGACUAUGAAAGCUCUCUUCUUACGUGUUCUGAUGUUGUAUGUUUUAUUUUUUCACCAGUGAUACAUCUCGAUAUGGUAUGGGAAGUGAAACACCUAUGCACCCUUCACGAACUCCUUUACAUCUAUAUAUGACUCCUAUGAGAGAUCCUGGAGGUACCUUUUUUUUCAUGUAUUUAGUGUUUUCUUGUGCUUUUCAAGUGUGGAUACUUCCAUUAAUAACUGAUAUUGUUAUAUACUAGGACCAUAGUAAUUGGUUACUUUUAUGUUCUCUGUAGCAACACCAAUCCAUGAUGGCAUGAGAGCACCUAUGCGUGACAUGGCAUGGAAUCCUUAUGCACCAAUGAGUCCACCCAGGUUUAUUUGUAGAUUCCAUUUAUUGAGUGCAUCCUGCCUCAGUGGUUUAAUCAUGCCUGGUUAACGAUUGGUUUUUUAUUAUUAUUAUGACUGCAAAUUAGGGAUAAUUGGGAGGAAGGAAAUCCUGCCUCUUGGGGAACUAGUCUGCAGUAUCAGGUUAGAUUUCUUCCACAGUUUGGUGCCAUUAGUGAUAUAGCUAUUUUUCCUAACUGAAAGUAUAUGAAUUUGAUUCGUUCGUUGUGAAAUAACUGUAAUGCUGUUCCUUGCAGCCUGGAAGUCCUCCUUCAAGGGCAUAUGAAGCACCUACUCCUGGUUCAGGUUGGGCUAGUACUCCUGGUGGUAAUUACAGUGAGGCUGGAACACCAAGGGAUAGCAAUUUGGCUUAUGGUAAUUAUAUUUUGGCUUACUUUUGCUAUUUGAAUGUGUUGAUGUUCUUUAGUGUUGCACUGUUGCUCAUAUUGUAUGUUUGUUUCAGCCAAUGCUCCUAGUCCUUAUAUGCCAUCAACUCCCAGUGGGCAGCCUAUGACGCCAAGUUCGGGAUUCUAUAUUCCAGGUACACCUGGAGGGCAGCCAAUGACACCUGGAACUGGCGGUCUUGAUAUUAUGUCUCCUGUAAUAGGUACUUUUUCUGUCUCCCCCACCUGUUUUUUUUAGAAUACUGAACAUUUUUUAUUUGGGUCAUUGCCUGGAGGUUCUGGAUGUUUUUAUGGGAUUUAAAUUUUAUUUCCCAUAUAAUUCAUUAAUUCUUUUUAUACCUGAUCUGUUUUGGUGACAAAUGCUGAAUAACUUACCUUUUUGAUCAGUUCUUAAAAUUUCUUUUAUUAGUUCUCUGUUGUUAAUCUUGGAACCCAUUUUGAGUUUGUACCUGAUCUGUUUUGGUGACAAAUGCUGAAUAUGCUGAAUUUUGACAUCUGAAGCCCCAAUGCCGCAGCAAUGUCGUAGCAUCGAGCUUGACAGGAAGAGAUUGAGAAGUUCACACUUAAAGAACAUCACAUCAGCUUUUGGGCUUAACCCAUCUCUUAACAAAUGUUGAUAAUGACCAAUAAUAAAAAAGAAUAGGCUAUGAGAAAAUAUAAAGGCUCAAACACUCUCAAGAGGAGAAAAUUAGAAUAGGACAGUGAGUUAACCUAGUCCACAAUCUUUUGGGGGAUAUAAAUAUCACACUUUGAGAAAAUAAAGAGGUGAGACCGUCGGGUGCAAAAAAAAAACAGAACAUCAAUUUUCAGAAGGCAGCACGUUGGAGAAGAAGAGGAUCCGAAGAAGGAAAAAAAGAGAAGAACGACUGGAGGAGAACCACAUCAUUCGGCUUAUCAUCUCUUCACCUUUCUCUUUGCCUUGUAAUCAUUUUCCUUUGCUAAUUUGAACCAUGGCUGAGUUUUGCUUGAUUGUUUUUAAUUUGAUGAUUAUGGACUAAAUAUUUAUUAGCUAGAAUAAUUAUGGAACCCUAAUAUGAGAUUAUUGGUAUUUUGAUAAGUAUGCUUGUUGCAAUAUGAUGUUUAUUCAUUUAAGUGUUAUUCAUGUUUAAGACUUGCUAUUGCUUGAUCAACAUUAAUGGGUAAUUGAGUUAAUUGUUAAUUCUGAAAAGGUUGUGAUUAAUGAACAUAAAACUUGAAUAGUGCAUGUUUAGUUUCUUUAUUUUUAUAUGUGUAAUGAUAUAGACAUAUAUUGUUACAGUGCAUAAUCCUGUAAGAAUGGUGCUUGUAGUUGUAUUCUUGAAAUUAAUUUGGCAUAGACAUAUGUUAAAUUAGUUAUAGGAUUGAACAUAGUGACUUCGAGAGAAGCCUAUAAACUGUCGAUUUCAGAUUAAUAAAUUGUCGCAUUGUCGCAGCAUCAUUACCGGUAAUUGCAUGUUAGGGGGAAAUAAUUAAUCUGGCUCUUCAAUUCAUUGAUGUUAAUUUGUGUUGCUAUUUUUAAAUUUAUUUGCAUAUUUAUUUGAAUUUAAUCAAUUUUUUAUUUACUUUCCAAAUUGUCAUUUGUUAAUUUUGCAAUUAAUGUUUUAAAAUCAGUCCAUGUGGAAACAGUAACUCUAGUAUUUACUAUUAUAUUACUUGCUAACGAUUGUGUACACUUGUAGUUAGAGGUCGGGAAAUCAAUCGUGAUGGCUCAAUCACAAGGGGUAGACAGUGAAGAGAAAAUGAUCCAAUAGUACAUCGUCCCCAUUGAGUUUCAGGUAAAAUUUCGAGGACGAUAUUUCUAAAUGGGGGAGAAUUGUAAUGACCAAAUUUUUAUUGGUACCGGAAAUUGUUGUUUCAGAACCUCAUUCCAUAAACUGAGUCUCUAAAUAUUAAAUAUGAAUAUUUAUGGAGCUUAUAUAAAAAUAUAUUAAAGAUUGAUUUAAUAAAUUUGUUGAAUUAAUAGUUAAUUAUAGCCCAAUGACUAAAUUGUAAUGUUCACUCUCUAUAGAUUUUUAAUUAGGAAAUGGCUUGGGCACUUAAAUUGCAAUUAUCCAAAGGACCAAAAUGAUUAAUCAUGUGCUAGUGGACAAUAAUGUGUGUGUUAAUUAAUUUAAGAAAUUGAAGAUUAAUUAGUUAAGUAAACAUAAUUAAUUAAAUAAAUUAAGCUUAAUUAACCUUUAAGCCAUAAGCCAUGUAUAAAAGCUAAAGUAACUUAAAAAGGUUUCCUUACCUUUCGACUAUAACUUGGUAAGUAAAUUUAAGUCAUUUUCUUGUAAUUUUUGUAGAUUUAAGGUCAUGAGAGCUUGAUUUAGCUAGCCUAUGUACUAAUUUUUGAAACUGUUAAAGUUUUAGCAAGUUUUCAUUAUUGAUUUCUUGAAGAAUUAGGUGUGGAAUUGAUUGAAAUUAAGCUUAGUUUAUGGAAAUGACUAAAUUGUAAAGCUUAAUUAUUGAUUUCGUAUAUUAGGGAUUAAAUUGAAUUAAAUGCAAAAAUAUUAUGAAAUUUUGUUAGGAAUAUAAAGUAUAGGGUCACUAAUGAAUAUAUAUGAAAUCUAGUUUUAAUCUGAGGCUAGAAAUUAAAAGAUAUGUUUAUUCCGAAUUUAGGGACUAAAUGGAAUAAAUUGAAAAAUAUGCAUGAAUUGGUAAUUGGUUUUGAAUUGGCUGAAAAUUUAUAUUGAUAUAUGUUUUAUGAUCAUAUGUAGCUAACGUCGGCAUUGGGUCAUCGAAAGGGAAAGUGAAAGCAAGAGUCGUUGACGAGUGACACGAGACCCCUAGUUUGUAUUUCUAUGGUUCAGGAUCAAUUUAAUUACUGCAUAUUCAUGACAUUUUGCAUUAUAUGGUGUUGAGGUGAGUUGUCAAUGGUUAUUUGAAUUGAAUUGCUGUAGUUGAGAUUUAAUAUCGAGAUAUUGACCAAAUCGAAUAAAAUGAAAGAUGAUAUGAAUUAUCUUGAAAUGUGAUAUAUGUUAUGGAAGUUGAGUAGAAUAUGUGUAAAAUAUGAAUAUAUGUGUUUAGAAAAUGAAAUGUAUCGUGGUUAUGAAUGUGAUUGAGUGCAUGUAUUAGAUUAAAUUGUAUAACGAUAUUGAAUGUCAAAACUCUGUACUGGUUGAAUAUUCGAAAAAUGAGUACAACACAGUAUGUUGAAUGGUAUGUAAUGUAUGAAUUAUAUUGAUGGUGAGAUUGAAUUGUGAUAUAUGGUUAUAAUGUAUAUUGAUUCGAUGUUACCUUAAAAACAAUCUCGAGUACCGUUGAAUUAGUUGGCAUGCCUUAGGUUGAAAACAAUCGUUGUCGAGCUAUUCGGGAUGGUAGGAUAAGUAAUUUGUGAAAACCAUCAUUACUGGGCCAGCCGGGAUGGGUAAAUGUAAGAAUAGUGAAAGCUAUCGUUGUCGGACGAUCUAGGAUGGUAGAAUAUUGGAUUAGAGAAUCAUCAUUUUCGGCCCAUACGGGAUGGUAGUAUAUUGAAAUAGAGUAAACCAUUGUUUUUGAGCCAUCGGGGAUGGUAAUAUAUUGUAUAUUUUGAACCAUCAUUACCGGGUCACCCGAGAUGGUAUAGUGAAUAUAAAUAGCAAAAGUCAUCAUUUUCGGGCCACGCGAGAUGACAAGAAUAGUAUAAAAAGAUAUGGGAUGUUGAUAAAUUAGUAUAUUAUGCUUAUAUGUGUGUUAUGAUAGAUGAGGUGUGUAAAAUACUAUAUGAAUCAGUUGAAAACGAGCCCUGGGGGCCAAACGAAUAUGAAUGAGUCGAUAGACUUCAGAAAGCGAUUGGAUGGUGGGUUAGACAAUAUAUAGAUGUUAAAUGAAAAUAGAAUUGAAUGUAUUGGAAAUGGUUUAUAGAUAGGUAUUUGAUAAAUGACUUGAAUUGAUUUUACCAUUGAUAUUAUAUACCUUGUGAUUAUUUACUAAUGCAUAUGUUAUUUUAUCUUAAUUCAUGGAAUUACCACUGAGCGUUUUCGCUCAGCGUACGGUUUGUUUUCUCCGUGCGCAAGUUUAGUAGAUUUUCGAGAGUGCUAUAAGUAGAUCCAACAUUUAGGAGGCGAUCCCCGACUCAACAAAGUUCAUAUAGUUUCGUUUCGUUUCAAAUAUGGCAUGUACCUAGGUCGAGUCAAUUUACGGUCAAAUUGAUGAUUUUGUUGUAUUGAGGCUUGAAUAGAUAGCUUGAAAAUGGUUAAAUGAUGGAGAUGCAUAUGCGAAUUGGCUUGCAUAAUUGGUUGUAUGAAAGUUGGUUAUUUUGGUAACUUAUGUAUGAAUGUAUGUAUAACAAAUUGCUUAAUAUAUGGUAGAUGGUAUAGUUGUUUAACUAAUAUAUGUGUUUAGGUAGUUUAAAGACAUAAGUGAUAAAAUAUUCUAGGAUUGAACCUUUGUAAAUGGUAUGGUUUGGUUGACUUGGUGCAUUGUAAUUAAAAAGAACUACUAUUUUAGGUGUAACUCAUUGGAGCUAAUUGGUACAUUGAGAAUCAACAUGUCACGUUGCAGCGUCAAGUAAGUGACGUCAUGACGAGAUCAAGCCACCAUGCCACAACCCGACGUUGAGCAUGGGUCGUUACAAUAAGGAGCCAAGUCAGUAUUUGGCAUCGCGGCAAGGAACCCUCGACAUCGCGAUGUCAACUUCGAAUUUUGUAAAUAUUAUAGUUUAGUCCUAAUUCACCCUCGAGUUAGCAUUAGAGCUUUUGCAAGCUUUUAUAACCAAUAAAGUAAGCAAAUUUAACUUCAAUAGUAAACUUUGAAACCAAUCAAAAUCUAUUAAUAGCAAAAUUUGAGAGUGGAUCUUAUUUUCCAGGUGUACAACAGGUAUAUAACCAAGGACUUUUUCAUACAUAAGUUUUCUCACUUGCAAGUUCUCAUCAGUAUUAUUUUUCCACAUAAUUUUAAUUGAGAACUUAUUCUGAAUAGAGUAGAGUUAUACUUACAGUUUUAAAACCUUGCAACUUCAGGUACGUCCAACUAUAAUGAACUUUAGAUAGAAUUAUCAUAUUUUAUUGCUCAUAACUAGAUUGUUAGAAUUAAGUGACUCGAAUCCUUAUUUAAAUAAAAUACAGUGGUAAAAUAAAAUAAAAGCAAAAUCCAUAUAGAGCUACACUUCUUUUCUUUUAUUUUAGAAUAAGGUUUUUUAAACAUUAUUAAACUCCAUCUAUUUGAUAUUGAUUAGAAUAAGGUGUUUCAAUCUUACUACACUUCUAUUAUAAUAUGGUUUUACAAGCCUAUAAAUAGACAUAGUCUACUCCUCUUGUAAUCAUUUGAAUUUGACAAUGUGAAUUUUCUUCUCCUCUGUCCGUGAUUUUUUUUCCCGAAAGGGUUUCCACGUAAAAUCUGUGUUCUUUAUUUUUUAUUUCUCUUUUCUUUGUGAUAUAUUGUCAUUAUCGACAUUCUAUUUAUUUUACAGAUUGGUAUCUAAGCUACCAGGUUGUUCAUCUCGAUCACGGUAAUGACAUCUUUGAAGUAUGAAAUUCCGUUGUUGGAUCGUAACACCAGAUUUGUGUUGUGGCAUAUUAAGAUGCAAGCAGUUCUUGCAUAGAUGGAUUUGGAGGAUGCCCUGCUAGGGAUAAAUAAGAUGCCUUCGACAUUAACGAAUGAAGAGAAUGAGCGUAAGGAUCGAAAGGCAUUAACACAAUUACAUCUACAUUUGUCUAAUGAAAUUUUGCAGGAUGUGAUGAAGGAGAAAACCACCGCUGCAUUAUGAAAGAAGCUGGAACAAAUAUGUAUGUUGAAAAUACUAACCAGCAAGCUGCAUAUGCAACAGCGUCUUUAUACUUAUCAUUUGGAGCAAGGUGCGUGUAACACCCUGAACCCGAGUCCGUCACUGGAUUAGGGUUACUAGGUAUUACCAAACAGAUUACAGCUCAAAACAGACAUUCAUUUCAACUUAUGAUCGUAAAUUAACCCUAUCAAUACAUUUAGCCCGUUUAAAUUUUAGAUCUCAAAUCACCCAUACUCAUCUCAUUUGCGUUUAAAAAAAUUAUUACCUAAGCUUAAACUAAUAUAUAACGUAUAUCAUGUAUAUUAUAAUUACUACGCAGUAUCACCUAGCAUAUAAACUCCAACAUAUUCAGCCUAAAUAACCUUAACAAAUGGUCAUGUAUGAAAUUUUUAAGCUUCAAAAUCAUGCACUCAAAUUACAAAUUUCAUAAUCAAGCCAAACCACAUUUAUUUAUUUAUUCACCUCAUGAACUAUUCAAAUAGCAUACUAAUCAAAAUUUAGCCAUUCACACGGCCUAGUAGCGUAUAUUUUUACACAAAAACCAUCAUUAGAAAAAAAAGAGACCAAAUACACCACUUCAUUCAUCAUGCGAUUAUGCGCUUAUGAUCAUUUUAUUUAAGCAAAUUUCUUUCACCUAUAUUGAAACAUAUCAUACCAUCACGAACCUAAUCAUAGUAAUUCAACCUUAAGUGAUUACAAUACUAGCAUAUACAUUUACCUUCACUAAUGAAUAUCCAAAUUCACGUACACAUCAAAUACUAACUCUCAAAUUAUUUCUAAUAUAAAAUUUCCUCAAAUUAUAACACCAUAACAAAACCAUCAAUCAAACAAACAUAGAAAAUGCCCAUUCUUGCAUUAGACAACCGAACUUAUAUAAUCAAAAUUCCAACAAAUAUAUAUAUCAUUUUUACAUUACUAAACUAAAUUAUAAAAAUAUCCACCAUUCAAUAUUUAUUCCACAACUCAUAUUUCCAAAAUUAACUGACUAUCAAACCAAGUUUUUAAUCUACAUAUCAAUUCUCCAUACCGAUUUAUAACCAACAUCUCAAUCAUAUAUAAAUAAAUAAAUAACCUACUUUCAUAAUAGUAUCAAGUUCUAGCCAUAUAUGGACAAACUUUAACAUUAUUACCAAACUAUAUAACCAAACACCAUAUAUGUAUACCAUGAAAUCCACUUCUAUAAUAAACUAUUGCCAUGACCGAAUAUGCAUAACAUUAAUAUCAAAAUUAGGCCAUUUUCGCAUGGCUAAAUAUCUACAAUUCAAAACAAAGCAUAUCAAGCUAGACUACACAUGCCAUAUGAUAUAAAUAAAAGUUUUCUUUCAAGGUACCAAAAUAGAUAGCGAUGGUGUGAUGAUGUUCCUCAACAAUCCCGAGCUCGAGCUAGCUUUCAAAAAAAAUCUAUAAAACAAAAAAUACACAUACAAAGUAAGUUUGGAAAGCUUAGUAAGUCAUAAGUAAUUAAAUUAACAAACGAACAUUAAUAUGGUUAUUUCAAGUAGGCCGAGUACUCCCAAUCUCAAACACAUGCAUUUAUAAUCAUAUUUAAACAAUUAGUUCACAAUUUCAUAUUAUACAACAACACCUACCUUUAUUAUCAAACUUUAUAUAAACUUAAACAUACCUGAAUCAUUUAAUUCAAACUUACAUUCGGUUUUUACCGUACCAUUUCCCGUUGAACCGUUCGGAAUCAAAUAGGAUACUCAGAUAACUCGAAAAGCUUGUACAAUGCCAACGUCCCAGACGUGGUCUUACAUGUAAUCAAAUAUCGAUACCACUGUCCUAGACAGUGUCUUACACGAAAUCAUAUACGAUGCUAAUGUCCCAGACAUGGUCUUACACGUAAAUCUCAAAUCGAUGCCAACGUCCCAAACGUGGUCUUACACGAGAUCACAUAUCAGAAUCCUAUGUCACUACAUAUGUAUCCUAUUUAUUCCUAUGGUUCAUACGGGGCUUUCGGACGUCGUAAUUUGAUCGAAUCGAGCUCGUAAUUAAUUCUCCCAUGCUUAUAUCAAAUUCGGCAUUUACCCAAAUAUAUUUAAUAAUUCAAUUCAGAACUUAUAAUUUAUAUAUAUUCGAUAUUAACAGCAUGUAUUUACUUAUGAACUUACCUCGGAUGAAGACGAACUGACCGAGACGACUAUUUGACAACUUUUGAUUUCCUCUUAUCCAAAUCCAAUUUCUCCUUUUCUUGAUCUAAUAAAUUCAAAUUUGGCUAUUUAAUAACACAUUUCAUUCAAAUUUAUUCCAAAAACAUAUAAAUGGGUAAUUUUCAUUUUAGCCCUUAACAUUUUACAUUUUUCAUAAUUUAGUCCCUAUUUCACAAAACACAAAAUACACAUACUUUAAAAAUAUCCUAGCUUGGCUGAAUAUUCCUAUAGCUCAUAUAAGCCCACAUAUUUCAUUUAUUUUACAUUUUAGCCCUUCAAUUUUUUAUUUUCACAAAUAAAUCCCUAAUUUGGAUUUUUAUCAAAAAUUACUUAACAAAAUUUAAUAAUCUAUCAACAAAUAUUUAUUUUUCAUCAUCAAACAACAAAAACAACAAUUUCUCAUCAAUGGAAAUUCACAAAAUACACAACCAAUUCAAAAAUUAGGACACGAGCUAGCUAGAAUACGAAGCAACGAUUUCAAAAAUAUGAAAAUUAUCAAAAAAACAAGCAAAAUACAUACCAAAUUUUAGCUUCCAAAGUGCAGAAUGCUUAAAACACAAAAUGUGUUUUUUUUUCUUCAACUUUCGGCAAGAACAAAGCCAAAUGCAUGGCAUUUUGUGUUUUGUUUUAUUUAAUAUUAUGUUAUUUACUAAUUACUAUUUUAAUCUUAACUAAUUCAUUUAAAAAACCAUAUGUCCAUAAAAGUCCACUCAUACUUUCAUUGGUAUAAUAUCAACAUAAGGACCCCACAUUAGAAAAGCCAUAACAAUAAAGCACUUUAACAAAUAGCUAGCCACUUUUGCAUUUUACGCGAUUAAGUCAUUUUUUGCAAAUUGGCGCAAACGAUAAAAUUAAUUUACGAAAAUUUCACACAUUUCAAUUCACAUACUAUAAGCAUGAAAAACAAUAUUAAAAUAUUUUUCUAACUUGGAUUUGUGGUCCCGAAAUCACUCUCUGACUAAGGUCUAAACUGGAAUGGUACAGUGCGUCUGUGUAGGAACACUUAACAAUGUUUAAAUAAAUUCUCUCAAACUUGGAGGACAUGGAGGUUCAGUAUGAUAAGGAAGAUCGAAGGUUGAUUCUACUUUGUUCGUUGCCCCCGUCUUAUUCAACCUUUAGAGACACGAUUUUAUAUAGCCGCAAGUCUCUCAUAGUUGAUGAGGUUUAUGAUUCUUUGACCUCGUAUAAUAAGAUGAAACAUCUUUUGGUUAAACCCGAGUCUCAGGGAGAGGGUCUCAUUGUUCGUGGGAGACAAGAUCGAAAUGCUAGUGAUGAUCAUGGAAGGACAUAGGAACGAAAUCCUCGCGGUAAAUCUAAAGGUAGAUCAAAGUCUUCAAAUAGAGGUAAAACUUUUAACUUCUGCAAGAAAAAAAGGGCACAUUAAAUCUAAUUGCUAUAAGCUGCAGAACAAGAUCAAAAGGGAGAUUGCAAAUCAAAAGGGAAAACAACCAAAAAAAUCCAUUGAAGCUGAUGUUGUAAAAGACUACAGCGAUGGUGAACUUCUAGUCGCUUCUAUCAACAAUUCUAAAGUGAGCGAUAAGUGGAUCAUUGAUUCGGGCUACACCUUCCACAUGAGUCCCAAUUAGGAUUGGUUUACAACUUACGAAUUAGUGUCCGAAGGUGUUGUUUUGAUGGGAAAUAAUGCUUCGUGUAAAAUUACAGGUGUUGGAACGAUUAAAGUUAAGAUGUUUGACGGAGUUGUCAGAACACUUAGUGACAUGCGACAUGUUCCAGAAUUGAAGAGAAAUUUAAUUUCGUUGAGUACUCUUGAUUCAAAAGGGUACAGAUACAUAACUAAAAGUGAGGUUUUGAAGAUUUCCAAAGGUUCCCUUGUUGUGAUGAAAGGCUAGAGAAAUACUGCCAAGUUAUAUGUUUUGUAGGGUUCUACUGUUACUGGUGAUGCAACUGUCCCUUCCUCUUUCUUGUCAGAUGAUGAUAUUACUAAACUUUGGCAUAUGCGUCUAGGGCAUAUGAGUGAGAAUGGCAUGGCAGAAUUGAGCAAAAGGGAACUUCUUGAUAGGUAAAGAAUUUGCAAACUUAAGUUUUGUGAGCACUGCGUUUUUGGGAAGUAAAAGAGAGUUCGAUUCACUAGAGGAAUUCAUAACACAAAGGAAACGUUGGAGUAUAUUCAUUCUGAUCUGUGGGCAUAUUUAUUGAUGAUUUUUCCAGAAAAGUUUGGGCGUUCUUCCUAAAGCAGAAAAGCGAUGUGUUUUUCGCAUUUAAUUCUUGGAAAAAUAUGAUUGAAAAAUAGACGAAAAAAUGAAUCAAAUACCUCUGCAUAGACAAUGGCUUAGAGUUUUGUUUUGAUGAGUUUAAUAAACUAUGCAAGUCAGAAGGGAUCGUGAGACACUUGACAGUUCGUCAUACCCCACAGCAAAAUUGUAUUGCAGAAUGAAUGAACAGAAUGAUCAUAGAGAAGAUUCGAUGUAUGUUGUCAAAUAUCAACUUACCAAAGUCAUUUUGGGCCAAAGUAGCCUCUACUGCAUAUUUUUUGAUCAAUCGAUCUCCAUCCGUUGCCAUUAAGAAAAAGACUUCACAAGAGGUAUGAUCUGGUAAUCUUGCUGACUAUUCUGAUUUAAAAAUCUUUGGGUGUCCUGCGUAUGCUCAUGUUGAUAAUGGAAAAUUGGAACUGAGAUCCAUUAAAUGUGUAUUUCUUGGUUAUAAAGCUGGUGUAAAAAGGUAUAAGUUAUGGUGUCCUGAAAAUAGAAAAGUUGUGAUUAACAGAGAUAUUGUUUUUUAUGAAACUGCUAUGCUACCUAACUUAUCCCUUAAAGACUCUUCCAAUAAAGAAAAUCAAAAGCAAGUGGAGCAUCAGAUUAAUCCAGAAUCUACAAUAGAGUCGACUCCUCAAGCUAGCACAAAAAUUCAUAAUAGAGUUGCUUAUUCACCAUAAUACUCUAUCGCCAAAAAUAGAACUAGAAGAGAAAUUAAACUUCCAAAGAAGUAUAACAAGGCUGAUCUAGUUGCUUAUGCUUUAAAUGUGGCUAAAGAUAUAGAUGCAAACCAAGAGUCAUCUAAUUAUUUUGAGACAGUUAGCUGUGAAGACUCGGAAAAGUGGAUGCUUGUUAUGCAAGAGGAGAUGAAAUCACUCCACAAAAAUAGAACAUGGGAUCUUGUGAAACUUCCUAAAGGUAGAAAAGUUGUUCGUUGUAAAUGGGUGUUUAAAAAGAAAUAAGGGACUCUAGGAGUUGAAGAACCCAGAUAUAAAGCAAAUCUUGUUGCAAAGGGUUAUAGUCAAAUUCCAGGAGUGGACUUCACAGAUCUGACUUCACAGUUGUGAAGCAUAGUUCGAUUUGAGCUUUGCUUGGUAUUGUGGCCAUACAUGAUUUGGAGCUUGAGCAGUUAGAUGUAAAAACUAUAUUUUUACAUGGAGAACUUGAGGAGGAUAUUUACAUGCAAAAACUAGAGGGUUUUACAGUCUCAGAAGAAAAGGACUAUGUUUGCUUGCUGAAAAAGUCCCUUUACGGUUUGAAACAAUCACCAAGAUAGUGGUACAAGAGGUUUGAUUCUUUUAUGACUUCUCAUGAUUUUAAAAGAAGUAGCUUUGAUAGUUGUGUUUACUUUAAGAAAAAUAAUGAUGGUUCUUCUGUGUAUCUACUCCUUUAUGUUGAUGACAUGUUGAUAGCAGUGAAAGAUAAAUGAGAGAUAAGAAAGGUCAAAGCCAACUAAGUGAAGUAUUAGAGAUGAAAGAUUUGGGACUAGCAAAGAAGAUACUUGGUAUGAAGAUUCUUAAAGAUAAAAAGCAAGUAAAUGGUACCUAAGUCAGAAGGGGUACAUUGAGAAAAUUCUUUGCAGGUUCAAUAUGCAGAGUGCUAAGCCUGUUAAUACUCCUUUAGCAGCCCAUUUCAGACUUUCAUCGGCUUUGUCUUCACAAUCAGAUGAUGAGAUUGAGUACAUGUCACAUGUUCUAUACUCUAGUACAGUGGGAUCUCUCAUGUAUGCUAUGGUUUGUUCACGUCCAGAUUUAUCAUAUGCAGUCAAUGCAAUUAGCAGAUACAUGACAAAUCCUGGUAAAAAAAGAUAUAUGGCAAAUCUCGGUAAAAAACAUUGGAAAGCAAUUCAGUCAAUUUUAAGAUACUUACGAGGUACUACUAAUGUUUGCGUACAAUUUGGAAAAACUAGAAAUGGAGUCAUUGGGUAUGUUGAUACUGAUUUUGCUGGAGAUCUUGAUAGAAUAAUAUCUCUCACAGGUUAUGUCUUUACAAUCAGAGGUUGUGCAAUCAGUUGGAAAGCCACUUUGCAAACUACAGUUGCUUUGUUUACCACUAAAGCUGAGUACAUGGCGAUUACUGAGGCUUGUAAAGAAGCUAUUUUGUUGAAGGGACUCUUUAGUAAACUCAACAAAGACCUUCAAAUCAGUACAGUAUUUUGUGACAGUCAGAGUGCCAUCUCCCUUACAAAAGAUCAAAUGUUUCAUGAGAGAACAAAACACAUUGAUGUUCGGUAUCAUCUUGUUCGUGAUAUUAUUACUCGUGGUUAUCUUGUUGUGAGCAAAAUUAGUACUCAUGAAAAUCCUACAGAUAUGAUGACUAAGUAACUUCCUAUAACCAAGUUUGAGCAUUGCUUAGACUUGGUUGGUGUUCAUUGUUGAAGUUAAACCCUUAAGGGGUUUUAUGGAAAAGAUGGAGAACUUGUUCGUUGAGAGUUCACGAUGAAGAACUUGUUCAUUGAGAAUUCAUGUCAAGGUGGAGAUUGUUAGAAUUAAGUGAGUUGAAUCCUUAUUUAAAUAAAAUACAGUGGUAAAAUAAAAUAAAAGUUUAGAAUUAAGUGAGUUGAAUCCUUAUUUAAAUAAAAUACAGUGGUAAAAUAAAAUAAAAGUAAAAUCCAUAUAGAACUACACUUCUUUUAUUUUAUUUUAGAAUAAGGUUUUUAAAACCUUAUUAAACUUCAUCUAUUUGAUAUUGAUUAAAAUAAGGUGUUUCAAUCUUACUAUACUUCUAUUAGAAUAUGAUUUUACAAGCUUAUAAAUAGACAUAGUCUACUCCUCUUAUAAUCAUUUGAAUUCGACAUAGUGAAUUUUCUCCUCCUCUGCCUGUGGUUUUUUUUUCCGGAAAGGGUUUCCACGUAAAAUCUGUGUGUGCUUUAUUUUUUAUUUCUCUUUUCUUUGUGACAUAUUGUCAUUACCAACAUUCUAUUUAUUUUACAUAAAUCUUUCCAAAUCAAAUAUUUUGCUUUCAACACCUUAAUGGGGAUGAUGACAAAAGCAUGUCAUAAAGAUAGUCACAAUCACUUCAAUUUAAGAUCAAGAGUAAUCAAUAAUUCAAUCCUCUUUUGAUUUAAAUGAAAUAUAAUAUUUUCCUUAUUCACAAUCUCAAUAUGAGAUCCAUUAUGAAUAUCUUUUAAAUCCAAUGGAUUAACCAUUACAAGAUAUUAAUAUAUUAGCUCUUCUAGAGCUUUCGACUAAUCUUGUACUACCAAAUAUUGGAAUAAUAUUGGUCUUUAUUUUCUUUUAUGCUUGUAUUCACUUUGGGUAAUGCAAUAGAUUUACUAGGACAAACUUAUAAACGUCCCAAUAGAUUCUUUAUUUCAUAAUCACCAUCGGAAACAUACGUAGAUUUCAAAUCAAAUUCUAUCUAUUCAUGUUUGUCAUGAUUAGUCUCCAAUUAUAAUAAACAUGAUAUAAUAAAUAAAUCAUAGUAAAAUAUACCUGAAGAUCUUUAACAACAUCGUCGUCACCUUGGUUAUUAUCAGGAGCAUUGAGUUGUUAAAGGCUCUAAUAAUUACCCAUAGUGCGCAGGCCUCAAUUGAAACAGCAGCAACCCUAGGAGACAAUAGACAAUAGACAAUAGAAAAUUUGGGGAUAUUCUUGUGACUUAUGGAGAAAAAAAAUAAAAGAGAAUCGUUUUGGUAACAUUUUAUAAAAUAAAAGGACAGAAAGUAAAGAACAAAGAGAAAAUGAGAGAAAAGAGAAUGGGAGAGCAAAGACAGAGCAUAUUUUAUUGAUCAAUCGGAAUAUUUACAAAGCUUCUCCAAAGUCUCAAUUUAUAGGCACAAGAAGUAUAAAUCAUGUAGAGAUCUACUUCUAAUGACUAUUAGAAUUUAAAGUAUAUAAAAACUUAUCUAGAUCUUGAUGGACAUCCAAUUAAUAAAAUAUUCAUAACAAAACUUUACAUUUCAGUGUAAUCAUUUUUAAUUCGCUAGUAAAUUCCAAUUAAGUCUUUAGCAUAAUAAUAAAUAGUUAAAAGUUUUACUUUUUUUAAUAUUAUUCAUGCAUCGGUCGAUGCACCAUGUUCCAAUCAGUGUGAUUGGAUUUGGUUGAAACAAGCCGAUGUAACCGAUAUGAAUCAGAAUUUUCACCAGUACAAAAAAAUAUGUUGGUUGUUCCGUUUUAAAAUUGGAUCAAUGUACUUUAAUUGGUAUGACUGGAAUUGAUGCAGAAUUGACCACCAUGUUUUUUCUACCACUCUCAUGGACUUUUUCAUUGUCCUUUCUAAUUCAAAACAAGAAAAGCUCGUAGCUAAACCACAAUAAUUCAGAUUUUAUAUGGAUAUUUUGUGCAUGAAAAUUGUUACUCGUAUUAUAUUUAUCAAGGUUGCAAUUGUACAUUCAAUACUAUGCUAAAGCUCUUGUCAACCAAUACCGAAAUUUUUUUUUUGAAUAAUCUUGAGAGAAAGAAAUAUCAGGUUCAAAAUUAGUAUUAUAAAGUUGAAUGAUAAUAGUACACGAAUUAAUUUUUAAUGAUAAAAAGAGGAGCUGGUUUUAUGUAUUAUAAAGUUAAAAACUAAUACAUGAUCAUAUUCAAAUCGUAAAACGAAUGAAGACACAUGUGAUUAUAAAAUAAAAUAACACAUGAUCAUAUUCACCACUUAUGUAAAUAUCUACUUUCAAUAAAAAAAAAAAGCCUAUAGCUCAUACAUCACUGAACUAGAGCUUAAACAUGUGAAGCUAAAAAAUAAAAUUAGAAUAACACAAUAUACAAUCAGAACUAACCAUUCAUCAAUUACACCAAAACAAAUAGGAAUCAUAUGUUCCAUCACAUCUAAAAUGAUUUCAAUCCUUUCUUGAUCCAAAUACACAUGCUCACUCACCUCUUUCUAGUCAAUUAACUCAAUCAGAGGUUCGAAAUAUUUUAAUUUGUAGUGAUAACAUAACUAUCCAAAUGAAUGGUCAUAUUUAUUAAUAAUAAACAUUAUUAUUCAAUAGACCUCUACUUGAAUAAUUAUGGAUUUUUAUAAAUAAUCAACAUAACUUUUAGUAACAAGAGACAUAACUCAUCUCUAUAAAUAGUGAUAAUUCUUGGUUGAGAACUCUUGGUUAAUAAGCAAGUGGCAUAAUUUUUAAAUAUUUUUAAUUUUCCAAUUAUAUAUUAUACAUAUUUUGAAAAUGUUUCAACAACUUAUAAUAACUUUUCACUUAUUUUUGCAAUUGAAGUUCUCAAAAUAAUUUCUAUAUAAGCUCAAUUUUGAAAGUUUUUGCUAAAAAGCAACAAAAAAAUAUUUAGAUAUGGAAACAGAAAAUAACUUGGAGGGUUGUGGAGUUGAGAAAUUAGGUACUAUUAUAGCUAUUGGCACAACAAAUCCACCCAACUGCUUUUACCAAGCUAAUUAUCCAGAUUUCUACUUUCGAGUGACUAAAAGUGAACACAUGACCCAAUUAAAAGACAAAUUUCGACGAAUAUGUAAGUAUCAUAGUUUUGUAAAAGCUAGGAAUGGAUUGUUAUUUUAUAUGUAAUCUUCCACCAAAUUACUUUUCCAUUUCCUCACUAAUAUAGAUGUAAUUUAUAUAUGUUACCAGGUGAGAAAUCUACAAUAAAGAAACGUUACAUACAGUUAAGUGAGGCCAUGCUGAAAGAGAAUCCCUGCUUAAUUAUCUACAAGGCUCCAUCCUUUCACGUUCGUCAAGAUAUGCUUGUAAAGGAAGUACCAAAGCUUGGUAUGGAAGCAGCAUUGAAAGCCAUCAAAGAAUGGGGACAACCCAUUUCAAAGAUCACUCACCUUAUAUUUUGCACAUCAUCAGGGAUAGACAUGCCUAGUGCUGACCAUAAGCUUGCUAAUCUUAUUGGCCUCAAACCCUCUGUUCAGAGAUUCAUGAUUUAUAAUCAAGGUUGCUUUGCUGGAGCCACUGCCCUGCACCUUGCCAAGGAUUUGGCCGAGAACAAUGCUAGUGCUCGUGUACUUAUUGUUUGCUCCGAGAACAUGAUCAUGAGUUUCCAACCACCUUCGGAGACCCAUUUAGACAUACUCAUUGGCUCCGCCAUAUUUUUUGAUGGGGCAGCGACUUUGAUUGUUGGUGCUAAUCCUAUUGUCAGCAUCAACGAGUGCCCUUUAUUUCAAAUUGUAUCAGCAAAUCAAAGCAUUAUCCCUGAAUCCGAUGAUUUACUAAUAGGAAAAAUACGUGAAAUGGGGAUGGAGUAUUAUUUAUCGAGAAAUUUGCAUCAGUACGUGUCUAACAACAUCAAGCAAUGCAUGGUCGAAGCGUUUACUCCAUUUGGAAUCAGGGAAUGGGAAAAUUUGUUUUAUAUAGUUCAUCCUAGUGGAGUAGCUAUUCUUAAUGGAAUUGAAGAGAAACUUGGGUUGAAUAAGGAGAGGCUUAGAGCAAGUAGGCAUGUGCUAAGUGAAUAUGGAAACAUGUGGGGUCCAAGUGUAACACCCCUAACCCGAAUCCAUCGUCAGAACAGGGUUACAGAGCAUUACCAAAAUUUACAGAUUGAUUUUUAGACGUUUCAUUUCAUCUAGCAUUCAUAUUUGAAACCAAUCAAAAUUAAAACAUUAAUGAGCCAACGUUGGCUAAAAUUAACUUAUACAUGCCAUUAUAACUAGAAUCAAAUCAUCCGAAAUUACCGGUAGAACCAAUGGAUAGUGUGAUAUAUCUCUGACAAGCUUCCAACCCAAUCGAACUUUUGAUAAUCUGUAGGGUAAAUAAAAAAAUACGUAAGCAACGAAUGCUUAGUAAGCUCAGUGUAGUCUUUAAUCAUAUUAGUUCUUUUAAAAUAUUAAAUCUAUACAUAUCAAGGAUAACCCAAUAUUAGUUCUUUUAAAAUAUUAAAUCUAUUCAUCAACUUACAAGGUGAAUAAAUCCACAGUAUCACUUAAACAUAUUAUCCCAAGCUUAGUAGGAUUUUAUAUAACUUUAACUCUUGAUAAUUUCUUUAUUUUCAUUUGCAUUUCUUCACUUUCCACGCUUGUUCCAUAUGCAUGUCACACAAGUCCUAAACAUAUCAUUCAACCAUGGUCACAAACUAGUGCAUUUACCCAGAUCCUUUCCUGAACUGAUUACAUGAUAAGUCAUUUCAUAAGAAAUUGCAUAAUUUAAACCAUACCACUUUUUCAUGAACACUAGCAUAUUUUCCUUCAAAUACUUAUCAAUUCAAUGCUUCCAUUAAAAAAAUCAAAUUACUAUUCAACCAAUAGCUUGGCACUUGCCUAAGCAUCAAGCAACAAUACUGAUUAGUGUACUUGCACACAUUACAUAUAAACUCAUCAUGCAUAAUUUUCUUGUUUCAACAUAUUAAAGAUAAUCAUACAUUUACAUGUCAUGAUACAUAUCAUUCUCUUAUCGUUUCUUAAUAGGUAUAUAUCAUUCAUUUCAUUAUUUCAAUAUUUCAUGUACCAUCAUUUUUAUGAAUUUCGCGUACAUACCGGUAAUAGUUCUCAUGUUAUCUCACUUCAAAACUUUACCCGUUAUAUCAUUUAAAUAUCAAUGGUUACAUUUAUUUUAGAUCAAUACCAAUAAUAAUCUAUAAAUCUUUCAAUUCAACCACAAAAGUCUUUUACCGUUUCUUUCUGUAUCGAAGAACGACUUACGGAUAUGAGUACAUCGUUUUCAGAAGCCCGAAGGCUGAACUUAAGCUCAUGAGAGCUAAACAGAUAGUAAACACAAAGUCUGCAACAAAUGCUGAACAUCGGUUUACUUGGGUAAUUUACUGUCAAUUCCUCCUUUACAUUUGUAAUGCCAUAGCCCAGUUAUGGUCUUAUCUGUCAAUUCAUCCUUUGGCACAGAACGAUUGUACUCAAUCCCGCGUUCAAUCCAAACUGGGUAUUAAAUUCGAUAAUAUAUUUCCAAUAAUAAUUCAAUUCCAUAUUUUCUAUUACCCUUAUUAUUUUCCAUAUUUAUCCCGUUGAACUACUUGGAAUUUCGAUGGAUUUUCAGGGGUACACCUAAGUGUACAAAUCCGAGUCCGUCAAUUCAUAUUCAUGUGUACACAUUUCCAUUUCAGAGAGCACACUCCCGCGAACCUCAUCCUUAUAGCGGGAUUACCAGUCCAGGCUAAAUCCCCUGUAAUAUAAACUCAUAGAGUAUUGUCGGGAUUACUAGUCUAGGCUAAAUCCCCUGCAAUGACAAUUACUCUAUGAGCUUGGAUCUGAAUUACCAAUCCAGGCUCAAUUCAGACCCUAAUUCGGAUUACCCGUCUAGGCUAAAUCCAUUUUCCACAUAUUCUUCGGGAGGGCUAUAUCAGGAUAGGAUCACCCAUCCGGGCUAGAUCCUUUUUACCAUCAAUUCCUUUUCAGAGAUCAUCGAAUUUUUCUUUCAUUCAACCGGGAUUUUCUUCCCCUUUUUAUAAACUAUAUCAUGUUUCAUCAAUUUUCAUAUAAUGAACAUUCAAAUCAUAUUCACAUCAAUAACCAUACAUUUCAAGCAUUUAAGAAUAUAAUUCAAGUUAGACAAACUUACAAGGCUAAAUUACAGAAUAACCAAAAUUCAGGGACAUUUUAAUACUUUUCCAUUUUCCUCGAAUUUCCACCCAUCUUGAUCUAAAUUAAUAUUUCAUUAAAUUUAUUAAUUUAAAUAAUAAAAACAAUUCAUUUCAUGCAAUUGGUCAUUUUUGACAUUUUUACAAAAUUACCCUUAAAAUUUCACUUUAUUCAUUUUAGUCCCCGAAUCUAAAACAUGUAAAUUAGCUACUUUAAAUAACUCAUAUUAUCUGAAUAUUCACAUAUAUUCUUUCAUCCUCCUCCACUCUAUUCCACAUCCUUGAUAUAUACAUAAUACCACUAUUUACUUGUUUACUCAUAACAAGCUGUUCACUUGAGUUAUAGUCACUAAUUAAUUAUAUCUUAAGCUACAGAACUUCAAUUGAGAUCCGAAAAUUUCCAUGAAACAAGACUCACAUAUAAUUUUUACCAUAAAAUUUUUCAUAAUUUUUGGUUUAGCCAAUAAGUACAGUUUAUUCUUUAAAGUUUUCCCUGUUUUUACUCUUUAACAGUUCUUACCCCUUUUCACUAAAAAUUAAUUAUCUCUUUGUACAGAAUCUCAGAUGAUGUUCUCGUUUGUUUCUAUUGAAAAUAUACUCAUUCAGAAUUUUAAACAUAUGAAUUUAAUCCUCUAAUUAUUUUUAUUUAUUUUUUUAUGAUUUUCCAAAGACAGGAACAGGGAAACCCAAAUUCAUUCUGACCUUAUCUCACAAAAUUUAUUAUAUCUCAUGAUUUACAAUUACAUUACUUACAACAUUUCUUCUAUGAGAAACUAGACUUAAUAAUAUUUAAUUUCAUAUUUUUUUCAUUCUCUAAUUCGAUUUUCAUAAUUUAUGGUGAUUUUUCAAAGUUAUCCUACUGUUGCUGUCCAAAACUGUUUUAGUGCAAGAUGUUUACUACCAUGUUUAUAACACCCUUACUUUCUUUCUCUACACUAUUUCUCAUCACUUUCUCUUAUUUUCUCUUCACUAACAUAUCAAGAACACAAGACCUUAUAUAAGAAAAACUCUACUAUAACAUUAAUUUCCUACUUUUUCAAUAAUAUCCCACUCAAAAAUAUAUUGAAAUCUUGAUGUUCUUACCUUGUGCUAUUGAUUUCAAUCUUUAACUUGAUUUUCUCUCUCCUCCAGCUUCUAUUUCUUGAAUCUAAUUUGAUAUUCUAGCUCCCCAUUGUCUCCUUAUUAUUUUUCUCUUUGGAAGCUAUGGAAAUUCUUUGAUUUCUAAGUGAAAAUAGUGAAUUUUUGGUAAAAGGACCAAAUUGUAAAGAAAAGAAAGUUUCUUUCUUUCUUUUCUCCCACAUGUUGGAAUGCAUGAGAGGUUGAUGAUGAUUUUCAUCUUCCUUUUCUUAUAUAUAUACUAAAUAAAAUAAUAAUAAAAUAAUAAAAUAUCAUUUAAAAAUCAAAUUAAAAUAUUAAUAAACUAAUAUUUAUUUAUUUAAUUAAUCUAAAAUAUCUCCAGCAUCAUCAUUAUCUUCUAGUUUUCUCUCUAUUCUAAUUGAACAUUUUGCCCUUUAUGAUCUUUUAAAAUUUCAUCCUUAAGUCAUCACUUAAUUUGGUAAAAUUGUAAUUUAGUCCCUCAAAUUCUUCACCUUUUUCAAGUUGGUCCUAAUCCAUCCAUUUCCUUAGUUUCUAGAUCAUUCCACCCUUAAAAUAUUUACACCAUUGGUCCUUUAAAUUUUUAUAUUUACACUUUAACCCCUCAAAUUUUGAGUAUUUACUCUUGGGCAACAAAACGUUUCUCACUUUUACGAUUUAAUCCUUUCUUGAACUAAUAUGUCAUAAUAAUACUUCCCAAUGUUGACAUAACUCCAAAUUUUCCCUUUUUGUCGCUUUAUUUCCUUAUUUUAUUAUAUCAAAGAUAAUAUAUUACUGUAAAAAAAUUUUUGGGGUAUUACACCAAGCGUGAUCUUUGUUCUUAAUGAGAUGAGGAAAAUGUCGGUGUUGGAAGGCAAAGCCACCACAGGUGAAGGUCUUGAGUGGGGCGUGUUGUUCGAGUUUGGGCCAGGUCUCACGGUGGAGACAUUGGUGCUUCGUAGCUUUGCUACAAAUUCAACACCAUAGUCCAUAGCUAUUGAUGGUGUGUGAAACUUUUUUUGUUCAACAAAAUUGACGGUGUGUGAAACAAUAUGUGAAUGUGAACAAGAAGAUUGAUACAUGUUUCUUUAAGAAAAAACUUAAAAACAUAAGUCUAGAACAACGAACCGUGAAACCUUUAAAAUAAUAAUCUUUAUAUAUUAUUGUUUAAGGUUUCAAUAUAUUUUGUUAGUGGAUUCAGAAAAAAAUUCCUUCACCCCUUAUGUAAAUAUCUAUUUUCAAUAAUAAUAAUAAAAGCCUAUAGCUCAUACAUCAAUGAACUAGAGCUUAAAAAUGUGAAGCUAAAAGAUAAAAUUAGAAUAACACAAUAUACAAUCAGAAGUAACCAUUCAUCAAUUACACAAAAACAAAUAGGAAUCAUAUUUUCCAUCACAUCUAAAAUCAUUUCAAUCCUUUCUUGAUUCAAAUACGCAUGCUCACUCACCUCUUUCUAGUCGAUUAACUCAAUCAGAUGUUCGAAAUAUUUUGAUUUGUAGUGAUAACAUAACUAUUCAAAUGAAUGGUCACAUUUAUUAAUAAUAAACAUAAUUAUUCAAUAGACCUCUACUUGAAUAUUUAUGAAUUUUUAGUAAUAAUCAACAAAACACUUUUAGUAACAAGAGACAUAACUCAUCUCUAUAAAUAGUGAUAAUUUUGGUUGUGAACUCUUAACUAAUAAGCAAGUGACAUAAUUUUUAAAUAUUUUUAAUUUUCCAAUUAUCACUAUUAGAAUAUUAUACAUAUUUUGAAAAUGUUUCAACUUAUAAUAGCUUUCACUAAAAUUAAAUAGGUGGUACUUGCAAUAAACUAAUGCCAAAGUAAGUAAUAACAUGAUCGCAGGCUACAGCAAGAAUUGAGAGCCACCAUAUUCUAUAAAAAUCUGAAGCUUGUGAAAGUACGAUCAAUAAUUACCAACAUAAUCGUGUAUGAAUUGUUGGACAAUUGACAUGGGUUUUUUAUAAGGUAAAUAGUAUCAUAUUUAUAGAUAUAUUAUUUUUAUUAAAAUUAAUACGUAUUAGUUUGUUUCGAUGUAUCCUUAUUUUUUAAAGAAAGGUAUUUAAUAUAUGUGUAUAAAAAUAUGCACAAUAUCAAAUAAAUAACACUAAAUAAAUUUUAAAUACAAAAUAUUCAUCAAUUAUAUAAAAUUUUCAAAAAUAAACUCUACAAAUAAAAUUCAUUAGUCAAUGGAUUAACAAGGAAAAGAACUUAAGGGUGAGUAGAGAUUUUUUUUUUUUGUAAUAAUGUGAAUAGGGGUUUUAUAUUUUAAUUGUGAAAGUAUGUCCUAAAACUAAAACCUUUAAUGUUUAAAAUGUUAAACUUUACUUUUCAUGUAAUCAUUUUGAUUCGUUAGUAAAUUCCAAUUAAGUAUUUAGAAUAAUAGUAAAUUAUUAAAAGUUUUUUUUAAUAUUAUUCAUGCAUCGGUUGGUGCACCAUGUUCCAAUCGGUGUGAUUGGAAUUGACCGAAAUCAGCCGAUGUAAUCGAUAUGAAUUGGAAUUUUCACCAGUGCAAAAAGUGGUGUUGCUUGUUCCACUUUAAAAUAGGAUGGACUCGGCAAAUUGGAGAUCUUGAAACGACAUGUUUUGGUUUGAUUUAAUUAAGUUUUUGUGAGUUAUAAUAAUCUGUUUAAUUUGGACUAGAAAUAAGUUUUAGGAACUGUGGUAUGGAUUUUGAUUUCGUUAGGACUCGUAAGAAUGCGGGAUUUUGGUUUUGAACGGAAGUUAUGAUUUAUCAUGCAUGGACUAUAGUUAAUCAAUUACUAUUCCUUUAUAAAGAACACACGAUUUCAAAAAAAUAACUUAUAGUUUCUGUUUUAAAAAUAAAUGAUGUAUUUUCUAAUGUACCUGAUUUUGAAAUUUCAGUUGACAAUUAGCAAAACUUGAAUUAUCUGCAAAAUGAAUAUUUACAAUUAUUAAAUUGGUUUUAUUUUAAUUCUAACAACGAUUAAACCCCUAAUUUGCAAAAUAUAAGUAAAGAUUUUAUUGGAUUUUGUUAAGCAUUAAAAGAAAAGGGUUUUCAAAAAGAGGUUUUUUAGAUUUGAUCAGUAUUUUAAUUUGGGACACUUUGGUGAGCAAUGUGACCUCAGGAAUUCGGUCGAAACUUCUGGGCUGAGUUUUGGGGUGUUACAAUAAAUUUUAAAUAUAAAGAAUUCAUUAGUUAUAUAAAAUGCUCAUCAAUAAACUCCACAAAUAAAAUUUAUUAUUUAAUGAAUUAACAAGAAAGAACUAAAGGGUGAGUAGGGCCUUUUUUUUUGAUAAUCAUGUGAAUAGUUAAAAGUUUUAUUUUUAACCUAAUAUUUUAUGUAUUAUAAAGUUAAAUGAUAAUAGCACACAAAUUAAUGUUUAAUGAUAAAAAGAGGAGCCAUUUUUAUGUAUUAUAAAGUUAUAAAUUAAUAUAUGAUUAUAUUCAAACCCUAAAUGAAUGAAGGCACAUGUGAUUAAUAAAAUCAUAUUGAAUAGCCAAAAAUACACUUAUCCUUAGAUAAGAUAAUUUGCCAAACACUAGUGAAAUAGGAUUUAAUCUUCUUGGAGCUUUAGGAUUUGGCAAGUUAGGUUGGUCAAAUGCUAAAAGUUCAUUAACAUUAUUGCCUAACUCACUUAUUUUUGCAAUUGAAGUUCUCAAAAUAAUUUCUAUAUAAGCUCAAUUUUGAAAGUUUUUGCUAAAAAGCAACAAACCAAAAAUAUUUAGAUAUGGAAACAGAAAAUAACUUGGAGGGUUGUGGAGUUGAGAAAUUAGCUACUAUUCUAGCUAUUGGCACAACAAAUCCACCCAACUGCUUUUACCAAGCUGAUUAUCCAGAUUUCUACUUUCGAGUGACUAAAAGUGAACACAUGACGCAAUUAAAAGACAAAUUUCGACGAAUAUGUAAGUACCAUAGUUUUGUAAAAGCUAGGAAUGGACUGUUAUUUUAUAUGUAAUCUUCCACCAAAUUACUUUUCCAUUUCCUCACUAAUAUAGAUGUAAUUUAUAUAUGUUACCAGGUGAGAAAUCUACAAUAAAGAAACGUUACAUGCAGUUAAGUGAGGCCAUGCUGAAAGAGAAUCCCUGUUUAACUAUCUACAAGGCUCCAUCCUUUGACGUUCGUCAAGAUUUUCUUGUAAAGGAAGUACCAAAGCUUGGUAUGGAAGCAGCAUUGAAAGCCAUCAAAGAAUGGGGACAACCCAUUUCAAAGAUCACUCACCUUAUAUUUUGCACAUCAUCAGGGAUAGACAUGCCUAGUGCUGACCAUAAGCUUGCUAAUCUUAUUGGCCUCAAACCCUCUGUUCAAAGAUUCAUGAUUUAUAAUCAAGGUUGCUUUGCUGGAGCCACUGCCCUGCGCCUUGCCAAGGAUUUGGCCGAGAACAAUGCCAGUGCUCGUGUACUUAUUGUUUGCUCCGAGAACAUGGUCAUGAGUUUCCAACCAC